rnacentral:lncRNA from 1 species
AUAAGGACUAGUACUAUGUCAAAUAAUUUCAGCUUCUAACAUUUCAUCCACCAGCUUUUCUAUCUCAUUUUUAUGAACUGUAGGAUAUAUGUAGGGUCUAAUAUUGAUAGGGGAGGUUCCUUCCUUCAAAAUAAUCUAAUGAUCAUGUGAUCUUAAAGGUGGCAAGUUAGUUGGAGGCUCAGAUAAGUCAUUAUACUGCUGCAAGAUGAUCUGCAACUCUUGAUUCUUCUCAAUGGUCAGCUGGUCUCUUUCCAUGUUAAACAUCUCUCCCCUGCACACAUACAUAUCUUCCUGAUACAUACCUACAGAGAUCAUGCACAAAUUAGCUGGUUUAGCCAAUAAUUUCUCCAUUUUCACUAGUUGCACCAGUUUAGUAGCUGGAGGUUUGAUGCCUCUCAAUGAAACCUUGUGUCCCAUGAUAGUGAAUUCCAUUCUCAAUUUCCUGAAGUGCCACAUAAUAUCUCCCAAUGUAGCUAGCGAUUGAAUACCUAAUACCAUAUUACACCCUUCAAUAGGCAACACCAACACAUCUGAUUCAAAAGAAACACCCAACAUUUUCCAUAACAAGGCUUUACAUAAGUAGUGACCUUAAAUUUUUUUCCAUCAGCAACAAAUGCACAGAAAGGUGAGAUUGAAGUUAGGACACAUCCAGGCCUUUGUGCAGUAUCUAAGUCCAAAAAAUUAUGGGUACUUCCACUAUAAAUCAAUACAUGAAUUGCCUUACCCUUGAGAGAUAUAAUGACUCUUAUGGUUCUAAAUCAUGCAAACCAUUCAUGGCAUGGACAAACACAUGAGACAGUAUUGAUCCUUCAAAUUUGGUGUCUAAUCUGUGCCCCAAUAUUGCUAAGCGCUCAGAUGGAUCCCAUUAAUUUUCUUCCAAUUCAAUCACCCCUUCCCGUUCAUGAACUUCCAUUGAAAACAAUUGUCUAUUCUUUUUACACACAUGACCAAAAGAGUACUUCUCAUCGCAAUUGAAGCACAAGCCCUUGCUUCUAAUCUCAUCCAUCACAACAGAAGGAUCCUAUCAUUUUAUAUAGGUGUUUUGGUACUAUAGUAGUGUAAUGGGAAGGUUUAGGUGUUAUCUUGUGAGGCUUGAAAUUGCUAGAUGAGUUCUGUGCAAAAGAAGGGGUAGCAUUUUAGAAUUUUAACAUGUUUUAUGGGUUAGGCAAUAUUCCAUGAAAAACUUGCUUCCAAACAAUAAGGGUUUGUUCCUGGAUCUUUGGUAAACUAAUAGCCUUGGCUAGGGUUCUUGGACCCAAUAUCUUGACAAGGAGUCCAAUUUCAAGCUUCAAGCCUCUCACAAAGCAGCCAACUACAUAAUGUUCAGGUAAAUCUACCCUAGUUAGCAAUUCAUCAAACAAAUCAACAUAUUCUUGGACAAUACCUAUUUGUUUGAGAUAUUUAAAAUCACUCAUGGGGUCAUCAAAUAAUUUUUCCCCAAAUCUGGUAUAAAGACAACCUACAUACUCUCUCAUGUAUGCCAAUCCCUAGUUAACCGAUGUUUCAUGUAGGAUUGAUGCCACUGUAAUGCCUUACCUUCCAUGCUGCACGAAGACAUUUUCACCUUGAAUUCCCCUACAAUUUCCUCAACACCAAAGAAUUGGUCACACCUCUAUAACCAAUCCUUCAACCCUUGCCUAUCUAAUUUUGGAAACUCCAAUUGAUACCUUCUAUUAUGUAUCUAAUAAGCCCCAUGUCAUUCGCGUCUGGGUUGCCCUUCUCCUGUUGCUCCAUUGCCCUCAACGGUAGCAGUUGGGGCUUUCAUUGGUACCUAGGAACAACUAUUUGAUUUCUUUCAUGGCUUGAGCCAUUUUUUCAUAUACAAUCAUACACAUUUAUGCCAUCGAAUUCACCACUACUCCAUCCAUGGAGGUUUUAAGAGAAUCUACCUCUUUUCAUUUGUUAUGCAUCCUUGUGUUAUGGUCGCUCAUUGUAGAGGUCAGAGGAUCAAAGACCCUGAUACCAAUGAUACAACCCAUAAUUCUAAUAAAAUUGUAAGAGAAGGAGCCUAAAGAGUAAAUAACAGGAAUUAUUCUUGAACAACUCAAUUCUAAUACCCUAAUUAGGAAUUCUGUAACAAGAGAAGGAAGAAGGAGAUUGUAUUUCAUUGCGUAAUUUCUAAAUGAAUAUUACAAUGGCUAAUAAGUUCCUUAUAUCAAAUCCAGCUAGGGGGAGGGAAAGUUAGUUACAACUAACUCUGGGGACAAGUGUAUCACAUGCAAAGUCACGUGCCCGUCACUACACUAAAUCAAACUAACUGUUUUAACUAACUAUCAGCUAUUACAAAUGACUUCUAAAAUACAAUUGGUCUAAACGAACUAAUGAACUGGAAUCAUAUCAAACAACUUAAAAUAACUUAAAAUCACCUGAGGAGCUUCUAUAGGAUAAUUCUUGGGGAAUCAACUUGAAGUUGAUAAAUUUCAUCUGCAUACAGCGUUCCAGGCGCACCAUGCACUUCAAUUAACAGGGGUGGCUCAAGGGUGAAGCUAGUAAAGCCUUUGCUUUAGGCCCCUAAAAUCUCAAGGUCUCAAAAAGUUUUAAUUGCUAGUCUCAUGAUUUUCUUUUCUUUUUGACGAUAUUGAAUAUAGUAAAAAAAACUAUCGUCAUUCACUAGAAAUAGUUUGAAACUUUGAAUUAAACUACUCAAAUCUUUAUAAUAAUGAAUAUUAUGUUUACAAUAACAUCCGAGGUAUAUAUUGAAAAUGCAUGGUUAACGUCUGAUUAACUUGAAUUAAUUCUUACUACUAUAAAUAAUAAUAUUACUAUGUGAAAUAUAAUACUACAUUAAAAACGACAAUUAUGAAAAAACACAAAAAAAUGACAUUAAACUUUUUAUUGAGACGUCCUUUGAACAGUCAUAAAGAGCGUUUUCUUCAUUUGAUUCUCAAAAUUAAAAUCAAAUCUCAAAAAUUGUGAAUCAAGAAGAACACAAAAACCUUUGAACAGUAGCAUUUUCUUCAUUUGAUUCUUCCCUGCUUCUUCUUCGGAUUCUAUGGAACUUAAUUCCGGGUCCGGGUCCUGCUCCGUUCCGAUUCUAAACUCAAAAGACCAAAAACAGAAUUAUAUCAAACACGAAAAAAAAAUUAUAUCAAACACAAAAUGAUUAUCUUUCAACACUAACAUGAAAUGUACUUCCCGUUCAUAGAUUCUUGCUAGCACCUCCUAGAAUACUUCUCUCCAACACCUCCCAGAAUACUUCUCUCCGUUGAGCAAACUCGUAAUCAACAUUCACUCUAAAAGAUGUGAGCAAACUCGUAAUCAACAUUCACUCUGAAAGAUGUGUCGACAAUGCCGAUAUACUCAUUUAGAAAGAUGUACCUACAAUGCCAAUACACUCAUUUAGAAACAUGUGCCGACAAUGUCAAUACACUGAUUUAGUUGAGCCACAGAAUCAAUUGGAUGAUGGGAUUCGGGCUCAAAGACGAGAACAAAGCAAUCAAACUAUGAUUUUCUUCGGAUUCGGGUAGUUGUUCUGGCCAUUCAUAGUGAAUGCCAAUGGGUUCAGGUUCAACCAUUCAAAUAACAAAGCAAUCAAACUAUGAUUUUCUUUGGAUGGGUAGUUGUUCUGGCCAUUCAUAGUGAAUGUCAAUGGGUUCAGGUUCAACCAUUCAAAUUCUUUUUGCGUAGCGUUUAUGGACAGUGUCAUAUUCUUGGAGUUUUUGGGUGUGGUUGAUUUUCGGGUAGAUUGUUUGUGGUAUUAUUUGUUCAUAAUCUUGUUUCUGCUACUAUUUGUUGUCUGUUUGUUCUUUUACUGACUUUUAUUUCUCUCUGUCUUUAACUUGGCCAUGAAUAUUUUUGCUUCAUCUUAAUUCAUGAAUAUAUCCACCUCAACUAUUGGUUUAGUUUAAGUGAAAGCAAAAUAAAUCAACAGAGAUAAAAAAUAGAGAACGCGAACUUAUGCAACUUUCAAGUUCAGGCGUUAUAUAAUGAUGAGUACACUUUUUUCUGCUAAAUUGUUGUUUGGCUAUGUUUUUUUCUUUGAUAACCGUGGUGUCCGGGACAGCAUGCACACACCUCUACUUAAUCCAUGGGAUAUCUGAUACCAGAAAACUUUGUCAACCAACGCUAGAGUUGAACAUAUGUUGUUUGGCUAUAUUAUUUUCUUUUUGGUACCAGAUAACUCUGUCAACCAAUGCUAGAACAGAUGAGAAGAAAUCACAGUGUUUGUCUAUGCUGGAAAUUGAACCACUAGGCCACACCCUUGGCUAUAUGUAGUUAUUUUUCAACGCAUAGCUUUUGGGUUCUAAAUAAAUAUUCACUCCGGCCACUAGUUUCUUCUGAAACCCAACCUCAGACUCUCCCUUCUUACUUCCAUCAGCAUUGUCGGGGAUUGUUGGAGCUGCAUUACUAGCAGCUGACAUUGUCGCCUUAAUCUCUUUCGUAAUGAUGGGCCGGGGAUCUAUCUCUUCAUCUUCAAAAGCACNNNNNNNNNNNNNNNNNNNNNNNNNNNNNNNNNNNNNNNNNNNNNNNNNNNNNNNNNNNNNNNNNNNNNNNNNNNNNNNUCUUUCCAGGCAUAUUAAGAUUGGCAGCAUCCCAACUUCUUGCAUCCCAUUCCUCAUCUUCUUCAAUUCCGUCUUCUUCAGCAUCAGCAUCAGCUACUUCUGACUUGGAAUAAAUCUCAAAGACAUUCUCCUGCUGAUUUUCUGGCACUUGUGACUCAUCCUUGGCUUUGCCAUUUGUCUGACCUUGUGGCUUUGUCUUCUUUGCUUGGUAAAUGGGCCGUUUGGUUGCCUCUUUUCUGCUCACCUCAACGCGGCCACCAGUGAGAAAUUGCUUUCUCAUUGCUUCUAAUCUUCGAGCUUCUUCCUUUUGCUUUCCUGUAAGCAAUUUCUCUUCCUGUUUCUUUCUCAACAUCUUUUCUUUCUCCCUCUCCUUUUUCAAUCUCUUCUUCUCCUCUUCAAGCCUUUCGACUUCUUCCAGUCUAAGACGUUCUUCCUCUUCUUUCCUUAACCUUUCCUCUUCAUCCUUCUUCCUCCUUUCUUCAACUUCCUUCCUUCUUUUAAGUCUCUCUUGCAUCUCCUUAACCUGCCUUGACUGCUCCUUUCCAUCUCCGAGUUUUCCAUUCGUCCCAUCGUUCUUAUUUGUUUCUUCCUCCAUCCCCAAGACGGCUGCAGCUGCUUUUCUCUCUUUUUCCUUCUCCUUCUUCUUUUUAUUCUUAUUCUUCUUACUAUUAUUCUCCUCAGCAGACUCAACUGUUGACUCGGGCAACUUUUCUUCAGACAUAAGGGCAGGAGCAGACUUUACUACUGUUGGCCAUUCACCAAGCUCUGCCAGGAUUUUGUCAAUCUCAUCGUCCUCAUCUUGUCGAACUGCACGCCCAACCUUCUUUUCCUUUGUUUUCUUCUUUGAAACCUCUGUUGCGUGCUUUUUUUGUUCAUCAGCCUCAUCCACUUUACCACUGCAUUUCGAGAUUCCGGCGUUUACUACUUCUUCUUCUUCUUCAGAAAGAGGCCUGUUUCCCCCUUUUCGUUUACUACUACGGUUUCGGAACGUCAACGUACCCCCGAGUCCUUUCGGGGCUUUGUGUGAAAAGGAAGAGAGGAAGGGUUAAGCAGAAUAACGGAAGUAGAACAAAAAGAAUCGUGCGACAAUAUGCAUGCUAUAAACAGUCUUACCCCUGUGUAUCAUUUUAUACAUGUUACGUGACGAGUCCCUUAACCGUGACCUAUUCGGAUUUGGGAAUACCACUUACCAUUCAAUACAUGGUAAGAAAAUAUUCUUUUGAAAAAAAAAAAAAACUAUUUAGUUAUUUCCCUUGUAUAUAGAUCUUUAAAUUAAUUAAUACUCUUCUACAACUACCUUUUUUGGGUAUUUUUACCUGCUGUACAUAGAAAAGAUUUUGUAAAUAUACUUGUCGAGUUUAGCUACUAUUUGUCAUUUUUUUGUUAAUCAGUAGCUCAAUUGUUCCAAAAUUUGAUUUUUACGGUUUUUUUGGGCUAGUGAAGAGAGAUUGUAUAAUAUUUUUCUGGGUAUGAGGCUUUUUUUUUGGUUUUGAAGCUAAUAAUAAUAGUUUUGUUGAUGAAUUGUGAACUUUGUUGCUAAUAAUAACGGUUUUGCUCCUUUUGUGCAGUUGAUUGUAUUUGCUGGAAGGGGUGCGAUUGUUGUAACAAUUUAUAUUGGUUCUAACAGAAAAAGAAAAUAUCAUAUUUUAGCAAUGUAGAUGAUGAGAUGCCUGGCUUUUAUAAUAUCGACUCUGGAUUUGGCAUUCUUAUUAAAAUACGAAAAAUGUGAUAUUCAUACUUAGUUUUUAUUGUUUAUGGUGGUGUAUCAUUUACUUAAACUUUUUUUUUUUUUUUUGACUAUUUUAUUUAUGUCGUCUGCGGUCAUUUGUGCCUUAUAAUUGGUUUUGUUAUGGAAAUGCUAUCAUUAAUAUUUGAUCAGAAUAUAUCAUCCUUUAAUAUAUGAAUUAAUCAGGAAGAGCUCGUCAUGCUCUUAUAAUUGGCUCAACAUUUGUUCAUAAUUUUUUUUUUUUAAAGUGGUAUUGGUUAAAUAAUUUUAAAUUUUUGAUAGGUAAUUAUCAAAUGUAAUACUUAUCGAGGAUUUUAAAUCCUACUAAACUUACCUCCAAAUCAACUGCUACAAAAUAACACAUAAUCAAUGCUUUGGUUCAAAAUUACUUGACAUAAUAACUUUACCAAACUAUCCUAUUUAAUUGUUACGAGUUGAAAUUGACCAUUUGAGCUUUCAAAAAGUCUUAGUAAAUAAGUAAGGGUAAAACAAGACAUUUUUUUGGCCUUUUCUUGAUAUGUCAAAAAUGACAAUUAAAAAAUAAAAUUAUGUGACAAAUAAUUUUAAACGGUGGAAGUAUGUCAUAAUAGAUCCAGAGAAAAUAGUUAAUAUAAAAACUAUAACUUCAUGUGUCUGUAUUUCUCGAAAACCAAUUUUUCUUUUUGAAUUUGUAUAACUCUUCAAAAAUAUUUUUUGUUGUUCAAUAAUCAAAUUUAAUUAACUUUUUAAGUUUGAAGUUUGAUUAUACUCUCUCUGUUUCAUUUUUCUUAGCUUCUAUAAAAAAAUAGUUGUUUUACUCUCUCUGUCUUAAAAUAGUUGACAUGUUUGUAUUUUGCAUAAUUUUUAAGAAAAAAAUUAAUCAGACGUAUAAUUUGACUAAUAUAUCCCUUGUUAAUUCUUUAAUUUUCAUCCAUCUAUGUGUCUCUAAAGCCUAGAAUAAUUAAUGAUACGGGUAGAGUUGGAAAUGUGGUUAAUUAUCUCUUAAUCUUUCAAGUAUAUCAAUUAUUUUGAGAUGUUUUUAGCAAAUAUGUCAAGUAAUUUGAAAUCAAGAAAGUAAUUUACUUGUCCAAUUUAUUAAAUUAAGAGAAUUUGAUUAUAUUUUUCUUAUAUGCUUAUCAUUAAAUAACGACAUAAAUUAAUACUAUUCAAAUUUGGAGUUCCAAAUGAUCAUUAAUAAAGUCAAUUUAACAAAAUAUAGUCCAGUAAAAUAAAACCUUGGAGAAAAAUGUCUCAACCUGAGAAAGUAAACAUACUCACUCAAUACCGUAUUAGUUGGUGUCUUAAGAAAUUAUAAAUAAAAAAUAAUUUUAUUAAUUCACCUCUUAAAAAGCUUUCUUGAAAACAUUACAAAGAAGUGGGAACACUUUCACAAAAAAAAAAUAAAAUUAAUUGAAGGGGUUAUUUAAGAAAACUUUUAUUAAUGCCUUGUAAUAUGAGGAAAUUUUAAUUAAUGCAGGAAAUUAAUAAACUCAGAAACCAUUAAGAAGGAUUGUAAUAUUAUUGUGUCCAUAGCUAUUGGUCAAAUAAUGAUUGUUCAUACAUAUUGAACAAUCAUUAUUUUAAUAAAUUCCCAGCAAUAGCGGAGUGAAUAUCUACGAUAUAUUCAUAAAAAUAAUUUUAAUUUUAUAUAUCAUAUGAUUUUCUGACGAAAGUGUUCUGACGAACUUCUUGCACCCCUUUCCCGCCCUUGUUUCCUAGUACAUAUAAGACAGUGUUAAAUUGCUUAAUCUUGAGCUUACAUUUUGUUUUCAGCAUAAUUUAAUUCAUGAAAAAUAAACUUCAAUCACAAAUAAAAACAUGAAGAAACAACAAUUUUAUAGAUAAACGAUAUGGGUACAAAUCUGUUCCUCCCUUGAUUCUUCUUAAUCCGAGGGCCGUCAGUAGCAUAUUUCUCGAAUGUAGGAACAUUUGAAUAUGAAUUUCUCCAUAAUUCGAGGACAGUUAAUGGCGUAUUUCUAGGAAUAUUUGGAUAAUUUGUGGAUCUUCCUGAUGUAUUUGAUUAUAAAAAAGAAAGGGUUUUGAUCUAUACAUAUCUCAUGGAUUUAUUGGGACUUUGAAGAUCGUUGAUCUCUUUGUGAAUAUCCCGUGAAUUUGUGGGAUACUGGAGAUGUUUUUUAAACGGAUAUUUUCUCCCUUUGUAUAGGCAUAAUUUAGUAUAGACAUGAUUUAGGGUUUAGGUAGAGUAGCAAUCAAGAUUUAGGGUAAAGUAGCCACCAAAAACUCUAACUAAAAUUGAAUUCUUUUUGUAGAGUGCACAAAAUUUCAAUGUCUACACAUUUCUUUAUUUUUUUCCUUCCGCGUCUUUUCGUAUUUGAAGACGAGUAUGAUCAAACAAGAGCAUAGGCAAACCCUUGCGGAAAAGGAGGUUUCAAUAUAAUGGAGAUAUAGUACACAGAGGCGGACCUACAGAAUAAUUAGGGGGUGCACGUACACCCGCUAGCCUCGAGAAAAACUCUGUAUAUAUAGUGUGUUUAGCUGUAUAUAUAUAUCCGUAAAUUUAAAUAAAAAUAGGUCGUGCAUCCUUUACAGUAAUAGAUUGGAUAGGUGAGAUGGUUGAAGUUGUUGCCUAAAAUCUCUUUUUGGAUGGAAUGACUUGGGUUCGAAACCCACCAGCAACAAUUGUUUAAUUGCUCCUUGUGCCAAAUACAUUUUGCUGCAACAUUAUUGUUGUUUUCUCCCCCCCUUCGAACAACAUUGAAAACAUUAUAUUAUAAAAUUUUCAUCUAUUAUCUAUAUAUAUAGAGAGAGAGACACACAUUAUUUUUAAAUGCAAGCUUCCCUCAAACUUUAAAAGGUAGAUUCUCCCCAUCUUAUACUACAUAAUGUUUAUUUUAUUUUUAUCUUUUAAUCAUUGACUUAUUUUUUAUUUUAAAAUUAGCAAUUUAAAGUUUGAAAUAGACUUAAUUCUAACGUUUUCUCGUAGCAACCAUCUAGCAAGUGAAUCUAUCAAAUUUUCUAUUUUUUAAAAACUUUCUAUUAUUGUUGAAAAUAUAAAAGUGUAUCGAAUUUAAGUACGGUGAAUAGCACACUUUGUCAUAUUAAACCAAAUUAAUGAUAUUCAAUAAUAUUAGAUUUUUAAAGAACUGUCUGUCGAAUUUUAACACUAUUAGUUAUUAUGUUUAAAUAUAGAGGUGCACCCGUCAAGCUCAAAUCCUGGGUUCGCCUCUGAUAGUACAAUGUGAGAAGGUUGAAUUUUCUGAAUUUAAUAAAAAUAACUCACUAAAUUGCACUUAUAUAGUAUGUGCGUACAAAUAGGUUUAGGCCCAAAACCAUAAAGGUCCAUACCCACACCCCCAUCAGCCCGAUUCCUUCGCUACCACCACAGACCCCAUUGAGAAAUAGCGCACGCGAAACUUUCAAGACCGGAUCAACAAAAUUCGGGUCACAACUCUUAACAAAAAUGAUAUCGAACUCUAUGAUAUAUAACGAGUAAUAUUGUAGCAUAAUAUUCAUAUGAUAAUGUACUCUCUGUCACAUAUUGUGCAUGAAACAAACAACAUUAUUUUGAAGAAAUCCUAAACUAUGCUUAUGCUGAUCUUCCCCUUGGCCUCCUCAUUAUUAAGAACAUUAUUCCUGUAUUAAGAUCUACUUUCUUGUAUUUAUACCGAGAAGCACAGAGUAAAUAAAACCCAAAUAUAUUUCAAAUCCUCAGAAGGGUCUUUUCUCUGCCUACACAAUUGAAAAGCACUUGUCACAGUAAAUUUACCUGAAGAUGUUGGCAUCCACCAUGGAAUAUCCCAUGGUGACGCCUCCUUACUGAUAAAGAUAUUCUCUUGUACAUACUGGGCUAUAUCAUAAGGCAAUACAUCUAUCAACUUCUGAAAAUUUCACCUGUCUUCAUCCAUCAGAUGAUUAAUAUCUUCUGAUUCGUCCUUUAUCUCAAAAUCUGAUUCUACCACAUGGUAUAAAGCACCAAGUUUUGUCCAAUUAUCAAGCCAAAUACUUGAUGAACCAAAUGUAGGCUCCCACCAUAUUUCUUGUUCCAUGGAAUCUCUAGCUUCUAGCAUUUUCUUCCAAAUUUGAGACCCCCUUUUCCAUUGGACUAGUGCGGGAAUAACCUUUUUGCAAUACUUAUUCCACAUAUAAUCAGUCCACAAUGAUCUUGUGGUUCUGAAAGUCCACCAAAGCUUAUAAUACAUGGCUUUGGAUAUGUCAAAAAGGGAUCUAAAACCCAAUCCCCCUUUCUCCUUUGGAUAACACAUUUUAUCCCAAGCAAUCCAGUGUUUACUUUUACCCUCAUCCUUACUACUCCAUAAGAAUUUAUUAAAGAUUUUGUGCAGUUCAUACAAAAUCAUCUUUGGAGGAACCACUGCAGACUAUAGAUAUAAAGGAAUACUUUGCAAAACACUGCUAAUUAGUACGGCCUUGCCACCAUAUGUUAACAGCUUACCUUUCCAGUUCUGAAGCCUCCAUUUCACCUUCCUGAUCAAUUCAUUGUAAUAUGCUUUCCUUUUCCUAGCAAGAGUGAUAGGACAACCUAAGUAUGAAAAAGGAAAAGCUCCAUGUUGAAAACCUGUGAUCAAUUUUACCUCAUUUUGCAACUCGUUGGCCACUUUUUUGUACAUUUGGUAUUCUUCACGAAUUUUCAUCACUUUCUCUAAAGAAUACCUAUCAGUUGAUGUAAAUAUGAUGGUAUCAUCUGCAUAGGUCAAAUGAUUUAUCUCUCUACUCCACUUAGACAAACCAUAAACAUGAUAUCUACCAUCUUCACAAAGAGAGUUCAGAGCCCUAGAUUGAACUUCUGAUGUAAGGAUGAAGUAGGUGACAAAGGGUCACCCUGUUUAAUUCCUCUGGUAGAAUGAAAGAAACCAUUGGAUUUUUCAUUUAUAAUAAUGGAAUGCCAAUUAUUGGCCACCAAUCUCCAAAUCAUGUCAAUAAUCAUCUCUGAAAAACCCAUCUUUCUCAUCACUUUAGUAAGAAACAACCAGGAAACCCUAUCAUAAGCCUUUGACAUGUCCAGUUUUAUCACCACAUUUGCAGGCUUAACUCUCAAUCUUAUAUCGGAUACUAUCUCCUGUGUUAAUAAAACAUUCUCAAUAAUGUUUCUUCCCUUAAUAAAACCUGAUUGAUUUUUGGAAAUCAAUUUAGGUAACAAUCCCUCUAAUCUCUCAUGGAACACUUUAGAGAUUACUUUGUUAAUGAAAUUACUGAGAUUGAUUGGUCUUAAGUCAGUGAAUCCUUCAACCACUUCCUUCUUCGGGAUAAGAAUCAGAUUGGUAUGAGUAAUACUCUUUGGGAGGGUAUUACCUUUAAAGAAAUCUCUCACCAUUUCAAGAACAUCAUAUUUCACUAUUUUCCAGGAUUGUUGUUAAAAUAACCCUGAAAACCCAUCUGGCCCACAUGCACUGCUUCCAUUCAAACCAAAAACUGCCUUGUGAACUUCAUCCAAGAUUGGGAUUUCUAUCAAAACACUAUUUUCUGCAGCUGUUACCAUUUCCGACAAAUGGUUUAGAAGAUUAAAAAUAGAACUUUCCUCCUCUUGACUAAACUGAUUCUUGUAGAAACUGACUGUUUCAUCUGCAACCUCUUUAGCAUCCUCAAUCCAUUUUUCUUCAACAUUCUUGACUCUAUUUAGCUGUAGUCUUCUCCUUCUCCCCUUUACCAGACUAUGAAAAAAUCUUGUGUUUUUAUCUCCUUUAUCAAACCAUGUGAUUCCAGCUUUUUGUCUGCAAAAUUCCUCUUCAAAAUGAAGAUAUUUCUUAACUUCUGCUUGGGCUUUUUGCAAAACCAUCCUAUUGACCAAGGAUGGAUCCUCCUCAAAUAAAUGUUCCUUUAAUUUCAUGAUUUCUUCCCGAAUUUUCAGUUGCUGAAAAAUAUCACCAAAUCUUUGUUUGCUCCAAAUUCUCAAGACCUUUUUGAGAUUCUUCAACUUAUUUUUGAAUAGCCAGAAACUAUUCCCACUCUCAGUUGUGUGCUAAUUUUGAGAGACAACCUACUUGAAAGUUUCAUCCUUCACCCAAAAGGCUAAGAACUUGAAAGGCCUUAUGAUGUUUGAGGUUUCUCUAUUCAUUGUCAAGAACAAAGGGGCAUGAUCAGAUCCUGUUCUUGACAAAUGUUUCACUUCCAAAGUAGGUAACCAAUUCAGCAUAUGAGAGUUGACCAAUAAUCUAUCUAUCCUCUCAAAAACACAAUCAGCACCUGCUCUACCAUUCGACCAAGUAAAAGGACUUCCUUUAAAAAGAAUUUCUUCUAAAUCACAGGAAUUCACACAAAAUGCAAAAUCCUCCAUUUCCUGUAGAGAUACUGGUAGUCCACCAAUCUUUUCUUCUUCAUUUAAUAUGGUAUUAAAAUCUCCACCUAUCAACCAUGGUAGAUUAGUAUCAGUAAUCCUGUAAACAUCACUUCACAGAUUCAGUGUUUCUAACUCUGUACACUUGGCAUAUACAAUAGUAAUCAACAUUUUUUCCUGACUGUCCAGAAAAGUAGCUUUUAUGGUGACCUGCUGCUCCUCAUCAUUUAUUACUUCCACGUCAAUUCCUUCUCUCAGGAAAAACCAUAUCUUAUUAUUACUAUUUACACCUGCUAUACCCAUGUUCAACCUUCUUUUAUACUUUUGAAUUCGACUUCUGUUUUGAAAAGGCUUUAUGAGAUCUAUUAAGAAAUAUUUAUGAUGUCUAUUAAGCAUCUGCAACCUAUUAAAAGCUUGCUGAGUGUUAAUAGAUCUUAUAUUCCAAAAAAUAGCUUUUAUAAUCAUCUAUUAAGCUUAUUUGUUGUCCCUUUUUUUGAAACCACUAUUUUUGGUGUUUGAUCUUCUGAUUCGAUCUGCUUUCUGCUCUUUCUCCUUAUCCUUUUUGUUGUUUUGGGUGAUAGAUCAGCCAUUCUAUCCACUUGUUCCCGAACAACAUCCCUAUCUUAUUCUUCCUCUAACACCUCAUCUGUUGUUAUGAUUGUCAUUGAGUUCUCUGCAAUAUUUGUUCCCUGUCCAUCAUCCACCUGGUGUGUCACAAUCUCAUGGAGUGUUUGUGUUGGACUCUUUUGAUGUGGUGUUGCCUCUAAAAGCAAUUGACUGUCCUUUCCCUUAUUUCCUGAAUUUUCAAUAUGUUUAACAGCCACCUGUAACACAUCUGAUUCACUCUUCUCUGCCUGUGACUCGGAGAUAUCAUUAUGGUCAUUCAUUACUGCCAAGGCAAUUGGUUGAGUAGAGAGUACAAUAUCUGCACAUUCAUUUGACUUCUUUGUUACUAUUUCACCCAUUUCAUUCUCUGGUUUCUCAUCUUCCUCCAUUGUAUCACUAGAUUUGACACUGUUUUCAUUUUCAAUUGCUGACAUCUUUUCAUUGUUGUAAUCAUGUGUGCUUUUAUCACCUUCUUUCCCUGAGGAGCUACUAAUAUUAGCCUUCUUUGGAGAUGUAAAGGUUCUCUCUACCCAAUCUCUGGUUGACUCUUCUGUGCUGUCAUCAUAUUUACUUGCCGCAUUCUUAUUAUUAUUUGAUUUCUACUCAUUCUCUUGUACUUGCUCUUCCAGUGCUUCUCCUUUUUCUACAGCUUUAUCACUUAUCCUUUUUCCAUUCUUUUUUGUAAAAAAUCUGUUAGUAGGAUUCCAUCUACUAAUAACAGGUCUUCUUUCAUCUGUACUUUGUUUUUGCUGCUCAGAUGGUUCUGUUUCUCCAGGAAAUUCAAUCUCCUCCUUCAACUCUGGAUGUAACACCCUACAAUCGACCUCACUAUGACCCUGGAGUUUACAUCUUUUACAAUAUACUGGUAAUGAAUCGUAUUGAAUUUUCACUUUCACAAUUCUUUUUUCCUUGCUUGAUUCAUUUUUAAUUUCCAUGUGAACAAAUUUAGGUUUCUCCACUAACAAAUCCAGUUGGAUCUUCACCCUGGCACAACUUGGGUGAGUUUUGUUCACAGUUGCUAAAUCCAGAUGGAGAGGCUUUCCCACAGCUGCUGCCAAUGAGAACAAAGCUUCUUUGACAAAAAAGGUGGGGAGGAGGUCUGGAAAUGAGAUCCACACAGUUGUUUGUGAGGUUUCUUUAUUUAGUUUGAACUUUGCAUCAUAAAUGAAGGGACGCAUCUGAUAUGAAGCACCAUCCUUUGCAGUGAUGUAAUAAGCAUUCUUAGACAUAAUAUUAAUGAAAUCUUCUUCUAGAUCAAAUCUCAUUAAGAUAUGUCUAUUUCUCAGAAAACCAAUCUUACAUUCACCUUUAAUCCCACACUGCUUAGGGAUUAAAUCCCUUAAUUCUGAUAAUUCAGGCUAGCCAUAAGAGAAUUUUCCAACAAUAGCGUAUUGCAAGUUUUCGAUUAUGUUCAUUCUGUUGACUUCUUGCUCCGUCCAUUUGACUACUGGAAUUCCAUCUAUUAGACCUACUUUCUUUAUUGGGAUGGGAUCGACUACAGUCGUUGUCUUUGUAACUUUAUUCAAAUAACCAUUAGGUUUGAUGAUCGCUGCAUAGGAGGUGGCUGGAGGAGAGAUGUUUGGAAAGAUUGGAUUUGAGAGUUGGGAUAUGUUAGUUGCUGAGGGUAAUGGUGGAAAAUCAGAAUGGUCAGCCAGCGGAGGCGGCUGACCAUCUACCGGAAUCAUGGAGGGAUGGUUAAUUGGAGGAGUGUUAUAUAUGGCAUUUCAAGAAAUUUACAACUUUUGGCCACUGUUACCCUUGGAUACAGGGAAUACCGCAAGAAUGGCCACUAUUGGUGGAUCUACUUCAAAAUUAUAGACCGGCAGUGAGAACUACCUAGGUUUUUUGGAAAUUUCCUAGCAAAAACUGGUUCAAAUGUUAUUCGGACGGGUCUUCUAAGGGUAAUCCUGGUCCAAGUUCAAUAGCUUUCUAUGUUAGAAACCAUGAGGGUGACAUACAGAUUGCUUUGUGUAAGCAAAUAGCAGACACCACUAGUUUAUUUUCAGAAGCUCUGUCUAUGAAAGAGGGUUGUGAUUACUGUUUUGACCACGGUUUUUCAUCACUCAUUCUAGAAAUGGAUUCCUUAGCACUCAUGAAGAUAGUGACAAGAGAAUGGGAAUGUCCAUGGAAAAUUGUGAUGUUAAUCAAGAGAAUAAGAAACUACAUGAAGGGAGGACAAUUGCAGAUUACUCAUACUCUCAGAGAAGGAAAUGCCUUGGCAGAUUUUUUAACUAACAAGUGUUUUAGUUUUGCAGGUACACAAGCUUAUAAAUCAUUUGCAGAAUUACCACAAGAGGCAAAAGGCAUCGCAAUCUUAGACAAGCAACAAGUUCCACAAUUAAGAAUCAAGAGGAUGAAGAAAAAAGCUACAGAUUAACAACACAGUCGGAAUAAAGCAUCAAAAGAGAGUACUUCGCAUUUAAGGAGAGUUUCAUUUAGUGAAAAGUAAUGCAGCAGCUACAAAAAAUUCAAACAGAUUUGAGCUCAAACACCCGAAAAACAAUAAGUACAGCUUGGAGAUAGCUCCAAUCGAAUUUGAAUACACAGCACCUGGUGAGAGUUUUAAGGUGACUUGAGUUGUAUUUGGUUCAAAGCAGCUUAUUUUUUUUGACUGUUUUGAAGCUCAAGAUUAAUCUACAGAGAGGAACAACAAGAUAUCUCAGAAAUGAUGGAAGAUUAUUUGAUUAGAUGUGGUUGUCGAAGACACCGGAACAACAAACAGAUUGAAAGGAGAUGUGAAGAAGAAGAAGAACAGUACACUUUCCAAUUUCCCUGUUUUGCCUUUAGGAUUAGAAAGUCUUUUGACUUCCCUAAUUUUCUUACUGCAAUUGGACUUGGGUCUUGUCUGACCUAAGUAUAUUUGUACAAGCUUUAACAUUUUGAUUUAAUAAAUGGCCCAAAAGGCCGAUCUUUGACUUAAAAAGAAAAAAAAAAGUACAUUGUUUUCCUUAGGAAAUUGCUCAACCAAAAAUUGUGUGCACUUGUGUUUUUUUCCGACCACUUAAUAUUCUUCUUCUCCUCUUAAAAGGAUUUUAUUGAGUGGAGGGAAGGGUGCUCAGGGAAAAAGAGAAGAAGAAGAACACAAUAUUUAGCCAUCAUGGAGAAAAUAGACAAAAAAAUAGUGGAGAAUAAGAACUUCAAGAAAAUUGAUCAUGAUGAUCAUAACGAUAUGCUUGAGAAUAUUACUAUUUCAGAAGAUCAAGGUGGUCUAGGCCACAGCCCUGUUGUUGGGCAUGGAGGUGGACCCCCAUGAUGAAAAUGCAGCGGCGAAUGUAAAGUGUAGUAAUUUAUACGGGUUCAGUCAAUUUCAGUUUUGAUCCGAACUCUACAUAUGUGCUAAAAAAUUCACGAAACAAGUAAAAAUAUUGAAUUCCAAACUCAUUACACACUCCUUGAUGGUAGUACUAGUAUUACUUUCCUUAUUGUCGCCUAGUUUAGAUAUUGGAGUACAAUGAUUUAUAUCUAUCUGCUGUAAACUGUGUAACAUGUAGUUUGUAUCUUACGGUAUUGGUUUGUGAAGUGUAAUUUGUUAUAUAUGUAUGUGUAAGCUUUCCUUUUAAUUAUCUAAACUUCAAACUGUCUAUGCAAUGAAUGAAUGAAUUAAGCUAUUUAAACGAAGAUAAAUAGUGCAUAUUUGAUCAACAAUAAAAAGACUGAUGCCUGAUGCAGGAUUACUUGGACUCUCUGCAAUAUGUUCACAAUUACAAUAUUAUUAAAUGACAGAAUUUGGUCAAACAUCAUGAGGAUGCAUUUUUCCCAAACAGCACACAUUACAAUUUUCCCCUUGGCUUUCUUGUCCUAGAUAUGAUCUUCUUGGUCCUGUACCGGCCUUUUAUACUUGUACCAAGAAGCGCAUAGUAAAUAGAAACCAAAGUUCAGUAUACUGACUCCUGCUAGCGACCAAUAGAAGUAGUCGAGCUUGUCUCUGUUCAAGUUGUUAUUAGCUAACCAGCCACCACUCAACUUGUUAAUUAUACUCACAAAUACUGCGCUUGUGAAGUAGCCAAAUGCCAGUGAAGACCAAGAAAUGGCCAGACCCAGUGAUUUCAUUCCUGAUGUGCUCUCAGCAUGGAAGAAAUCCAACAAACCUACCAACGUAAAUAUUUCAGCCGCUGAAAUUAUUAUAUAUUGGUAUACAAUCCAGAACACACUCAUAGGUAAUGGACUAGCUGAGUCAACCAUGCUAUGCUCAAUGGCAACUGAUUUCCUGCGACUUUCUACAACCGCAGCCACUGCCAUAGAAACUGCUGAAAGUACUAGUCCAGCACCUAUACGUUGCAGUAAUACCAACCCGUUUGGAAAUAAUUACACUCUCUCCCACUUUUCUAAUUACUUUACUCUCUCUCCCUAUUGUCAUGCCCUGUUUUUGCCAAGGUCAAACAAAACAUGACUUAUUGGAUUCUAAAGAAUUGAAAUUUUGUACAAAGUCGCCACCUAAUUUUUAAAGGAAAAUAAGGAAACCUAUUUAUUUGUUAAUACGUAUGAUUAAUGUUUUAGUCUGCGAAAACCUAUUGAAACUCUAGGUAAGGGUUCAAAUUAUCCCAAAGGGAAGGGGUUAGGCACCCUUCAGGAUCCACAAAUGUGGUACCCGACUAGACUAAACUUAUCAAUGAGGGAGGAGGUAUAAAUAUUUAAAAUAAUGUAAAAGUGUAUGCGUAUUAAGUAUAAAAUAAUUCUUUUGAAAAAAUAUCAAUGUAAAACUAUGUAAAAGUAUAUGUAUAUUAAAUAUACAAAUAAAAUCUAUUGUUAUAAAAACAUGUAAAAGAUAUGUAUAAAAAUGUAUAUUUUAUAUGUGAAAAAGAAAGUAUUUUGUGAUGUAUGAAAAGAAACAUGUAAAAGAUAUGUAUAAAAUAUAUAAAUCACAUGUGAAAAAGAAAAGUAUUUUAUGACAUAUGAAAAGAAAUGUCUUUUGAUGUUCCAUAAAAAGGAAAAGUAUUUACAAGUAAUAUUUUUAUUUGAUUAAAGUUACGGAGAAAAGUAAAGAUUUAUUUGAGAAGAAAAGACUACAUAAUAUGUGAAUUACUUGAUUAACUUAAUUCCUUUAUCUAAGUAUUAAAGGCCUAAGUUUUGUCUAAACGCGUAUUAUGUAGAUAAAGAAUACUCCCACUCAACGCCUCAAAAGGUAAAGUUUUCACUAUAUUUGAUAUGUACAAUUACAAGAAAAUAAUACAAAUAAAAGAUUCUUCUUUUGAAUGUCAUUUUUCGACAAAUAAUCUCAAAAAAUCUGUACAAACACGUUAGUAAUAAAGUAAAAUAAACUAGAAGUUAUGCGUGCAUAUGUACAUAAAAAUAUAUUUUUUAAUCAAAGUGUGGGCUCGGAUUAGAUUUUAGAUACGCCAUGAUUACGAAGUGGUUGCUCGAUUAAUCGGCCAUCCUAAAUCGUCUUGUCAAGAUGUGUAUCAUAAAACCUUUUGUGUUGUCGGUGUUAUAAAAAUUUUGUCAUUGCCCAUAUUUAUUUAUUUUUAUUACGUAUUUGUAUACGUAAUGUCCGUCUUUUAUUAGGGGAGACCUCGAAAAUCGACGGAGAAUUUCUUCAUCGACCAUUGUAUUGAUACUUGAUAUGAAUAGAUAAACUUGAGAAAAAUAAAGUCCAUCUUUGUAAUGGGGUGGCCUCAAGUAUCUGACGGAGAGAUAAUGCCAUUGUUCAUGUGUCUAUUUUUGAUAUAAAAUAAAUAACUUGAAAAGUAAAGAUCCGUCUUUUGUAUUGGGGUGGCCUCAAGUAUCCGACGGAUAGAUAAUAUCAUUGGCCAAAGUAUUUAUUUUGAGUAUAUGUAUGUGUUUUUGAGAAAAAAAAAAAGAUGAACAAAUUUUGUGUACGAUAAAAAUAUAUGUGUGGUGAAGAAUUUGUGUGUGUAGUGAAGAUGUGUGUGUUUGGGAGAGAAGAAAAAUAUGUGGGUAUGAUAAAUGUGUAUCUGUAUUUGUGAAUGUGUGUUUUAUUCGUGUAUUUUUAUGUGAGAAGAGUGAAAAAAUGUGCGUAUUAUAAUUUGGAAAAAAAGAAUCAAAUAUAUAAAAAGAAAAUUGAUUUUUUUAUAUUUUGAGAGAGGGGAGAAAGAAGAAUAAAAUGUAUAUAUGGUGACAAACAUGUGUGUCUGAGAGAAAGAAAAAAGAUGACUAAAACUUUUGUAUUUGAGAGAGAGGAGAAAGAGGUGAAAAAUAUGUGUGGAUUUUUUGAGAGAGAGGGAGAAUAAAAAUGUGCGUGAAAAUGCCUUCCCAUCACUCCUAUUUAUAAUGAAAUUGGACACCUCUUAUUGUCCAAUGGAUAAAGAGAUGUCCCCUCUUUAUAUAAUAGCACAUCCUUUGAUCCUUAGGGUAUUGACCAAAGGAUUUUCAUCUUUUUGACUAAUGGAUAAAAUUAUUGUCUAAAGGAUAGUGUCAUUGAGUGGGCAUUGUCAGAUGUGACAAGACAUUAUGUGUAGUCAUUAUCAGAUGUGACAAGACAUCAUUGUGUAGUCAUUGUCGGAUGUGACAAGACAUUAUUGCGUGGUCAUUGUCGGAUGUGAUAAUACAUCAUUGUAUAGUCAUUGUCGGAUGUGACAAGUCAUUAAAUUAUUGUAUUGUAUAAAAAUAAUUGAUCCGACUUAGCAUUUGCAGAUCAUAAAAAAUAUACAAAAUGCAGGUAUUGAUUUGUAAUUAUGAAAAAUGUAAAGAAUGUUGAAAAUAUUAAAAAAUGUAAUUUAAUAUGAAAAAUAUUAUAAAAAUGUGAUGUCAUGUCGUGUACGUGUGCAGAUAAUUGUAAAAUGUUAAAAACGAUAAUGAAUUAAUAGAAGUCCUAUUAUAAGGAGGAUUAUUAAUAAAUUAUGAAAAGUAAAAAAUACAACAACAAAUUGAUAAAAAUCCUAAAGUAAGGAUGAUUAUCAAUAAUUUGUCAAUAAUUAUAAAAGAUGUAAAAAUUAUAUUUUGUGCCCUUUAAUGACCAAGAAGCCUAAAGACAUUAAUUUUAAGAGCAAAAAUUGAGUGUCAACACCUAUUAAUAUGCAUAACAUAGCCGACAUAUACAUCGCAUUCUGUGUAUAUGUUGAAAUUUUUGUAAUAUGUUUAGGGAGUUGAGAUUUUUUAUAAUAAUGGAAACACAAGUUGUGUAUUUGUGUAAUUUUUAGUUAUUAAAAUGAUGGCCUACAUCAAAACGGCCCAGAUCUAGCCGGAUUUACAUGUUUUCUGACGUUGCUCCGGUGAAAAUCCAUUGAAGCAACGUCGUUUGUCACCAUCAUGUCGGUUUUAUCUCUAUUUUUGAUUAAUGUAGUUGGUGUUUUUUUUUUUUCUAUAUUGUUCUGCUACCAAAAUGGAUUUGGAUGGAAUUUCUCAUUCUCCGUUGAAGGUUCAUGGAUUUCGCGAGCUAUCUUUUGUGUUGUCUGUUAUGAUGUUAUUUCAUUUUUAUACUUUUUUGGCUAACUGAGUUGUUAAUUCAUUUAUUGUUGGAUUAUUUUUCUGAUUGUAUGGGUAUCUCCAUUUUUAUCGUUAGCUGCUUUAAAGUUGUUUCGUGCUGAUUUUGUCCUUCACAUCCUAUUAAAUUAAUAAUGAACAUAUUAUGCAAUUUGGCCAAUGAUAUUAUUUUUUCGUCGGAUAUUUGAGGUCACCCCAUUAUAAAAGACGGACUUUAUUUUAUAAAGUUAUUAUUUUAUAUUAAAGGCUAACAUUUAAUCGAUGAAGAAAUUUUUUCAUUGAUUUUCGAGGCCUGUGCAGAUAAAAAGACGGAUAUUACGUAUAUAAAUACAUAAUAAAAUAAAUAAAUUCGGGCGAUGACGAAAUUUUUAUAACAACGCAAAAAGUUUUAUAAUUCGUAUCUUGUUAAGACAAUUUAGGACGACUAAUAAAUUAGCAACCACUUCACAGCGAUGUCAUAUUUAAAAUUUAAUCUGAGCCCACCUUUUAAAAAUUAUAUUUUUAUACAUAUAUGCACAUAUACGUUUUUAAUUUAUUUUGAUAAUUAUUUAUUUGUUACUAACAUUUUUAUUACAAGUGUUUGUACAGGUUCUCGGAAAUACAUAUCGGAAAGGGCAUUCAGUAAAGAAGUGAAUUUUGUAUUUAUAUUUCUUUUAUAUUUUUGCAAUUGCACAAAAUAUUAAUUAUAGUGAAAUAUUUAUUUUUGGGGUGUUGGGUGAGAUAUUUUUAUUUACGCAAUCCACAUCAAGCGUUAGGCAAAUCUAGGCCGUUAGUAUAUACAUUAAAUCGAUUUAGAUAAUUAAUAAAAAUAAUUCAUAUUAUUUAUAUUAAAAACAUUAUGUAAUCUUUUUCUUUACAAAAUUUUUUUCUUUAUUCAAUCUUUCGUUUUCUUUUCAUAUACAUUCUUAUAUAUACUUUUAUUUGCAUAUCUUCACAUACUUUUAUACAUAGUUUUACUAUAAUAUUGGUAAUUAAUACAUUCGUUACAUAUAAAUUAUUUACAUCAUUUUAAUAUGCAUUUUAUAUUUGUACGUAUAUACACUGAUUUUUUUCAUCUCUUAAUAAACCUAAGUCUAACCGGGAAUCACAUUUGUGGAUUCUGAAAGGUGCCUAAUCCCUUUCAUUCGGAAUAAUUUGAACCCUUACCUAUAACCAAAAUUGGUUUCGUAGAUUAGAAUAAAGUCAUACUUGUUAAAUAAAUAAAUAGGUUUCCUAUUUUUCCUUAAAAAUUAGGUGGCGACUUUGUAUUAAAUUAAAUCUUUUAGAGUCUAUAUUGUUGUGCUCGUUUUGACCUUAGGUAAAAAUCGGGUAUGACAAUUAGGAGAAUAAUGAGAAGAAGGAAUACGUUGUGUCGUAGACCUUCUUAGUGGAGCAUUUGGUUCAUCCACAACUUCUUGAACUGGAGCAUCAUCAACAACAUCUUUGUCAUUAUCAACAUGCUGAUUUUGAACAUGAUUCUGGGUGUCACCAUGAUUAUCUAGCCCACCACCAUCAUGCACACUUGUAUGAGGAAUUUGAUCAAUACUAACCACACCAUCAGAACUUGAAGAUUUCAGUUUCUCCGCUUUAUCAAUAUCUUCAAUGGUUUGAUUCUCCAUGAAUACAAUAUCACGACUUCUUACAAGCUUCUUAUCAACUGGAUUAUAUAGCCUGUAACCAAACUCAUCAAGACCAUAACCUAUGAAGAUGCACUGCUUUGUCUUGGCAUCUAACUUUGACUUCUUAUCUUUGGGCACAUGUACAAAAGCUUUGCAACCAAAUACUCUCAAAUGGUCAUAGGAAACAUCUUUCUCAUACCAAACUUUAUUUGGUAUAUCACUUUGCAAAGCAACAGCAGGAGAUAGAUUAAUAACAUGUGAAACGGUCAAUAAAGCCUCACCCCAAAAGGAGUUCGACAACUUUGCUUCAAAAAGAAAACAUCUUACUCUUUCCUUCAAGGUCCUGUUCAUCUUUUCCGCCAAACCAUUAAGUUGAGGCAUCCUAGGAGGAGUCUUCUGGUGUCUGAUACCUUGUUGCUUGCAGUAUUCGUCAAACGGUCCAUAAUAUUCACCACCAUUAUCAGUACGAAUACACUUCAGCUUCUUCCCUAUUUGUUUUUCAAUGGAAGCCUGAAACUGCUUAAAGACACCGAACACUUGUUCUUUAGUCUUCAAGAUAUAGACCCAAAGUUUCCUUGAGCAAUCAUCAAUAAAAGUGACAAAGUAAAGUGCACCACCCGAAGUCCUUGUCUUUAGUGGACCACAUAAAUCUGAAUGCACCAGUUCAAGCAACUCUGUCUUUCUUGAAGGAGAACAAAACUUGAAAGAAACUCUAUUUUGUUUUUCAGCCAAGCAGUGCUCACAUUUUUCUAAUUUAUCACUUUUAAAAUCUGAUAGUAAUUUCUUCUUGGCCAGAACGUUAAGUCCUUUCUCACUAAUGUGGCUAAGCCUCUUGUUCCAUAAUGUCGAAGAGCUAGCACUUUCAACUGCAUUCACCAUGUUAGCACAAGUAGAAAUCGUAGUCCAGUAUAGACCACUAUGUUUGUCUCCACGAGCCACAACCAAAGAACCCUUAAUGCGUUUUCAUUUUCCACCACCAUUGGUAUUAACAUAUCCCUCAUCAUCCAGCACGCCAACAGAAAUCAAGUGUAAGCUAAUAAUGGGUGCAUAUUUUACAUUGUUUAAAACUAGUUUAGAUCUAGUAUUAGUUUCCAAAUAAAUUGUACCAAUACUAACCACUUUAGAAACAGUCUCAUUGCCCAUACUCAAGGUUCCAAAGUCACCUGGAGUAUAAGAUGAGAAAAAAUCCUUCCUUGAUAUCACAUGGGAUGCAGCACUAGAAUCCACAACCCAACUUGACUCAUCACAAGCAACAUUUAUUAGAUUUGCAUCAAGGACAAUAACAAGAUCUUCAGUGGUAAUGGUGGCGACACAAUUUUCAUUGUCGUCUUCUUUCUUUUCCUUUUUGUCUCUUUUCUCCUUCUUCAACUUUUGACAAAAUUUCUUUGUGUGCCCUUUUAACCCACAAUGAUAACACUCAAUAUCUUUAAAUUUUCCUCUGGAUUUGCUUCUAUGGUGUUCAUUACUUUGAGCACCAUGAUUCUUUCUUCUCCCCCUAGCGCCAGUCACUAAGACAUCAGACGAAUAGGAACCUUGAGACUUUUGUCUCAUCUCUUCAUUAAGAAUGCUGCUCUUAAAAAAAUCCAUAGAGAUCACGCCAUCGAGAGCAUAAUUUGAUAAAGAAGUUCUAAAUGUUUCUCACGAGUUUAGUAGGGAACCAAGUAAAAGCAAGCCUUGAGUUUCUUCAUCAAACUUAAUGCCCAUAACAAAUAAAUGGUUCAUGAUUCCCUGAAAGUUAUUCAGGUGAUCUGUCAUCAGAUAACCAUUAUGGUAUUUUAACCCCAACAUUUGUUUUAUCAAGAACGUCUUAUUAUUUUCGAUCUUUCGAGCAUACAAACUUUCAAGAUGCUCCCAUAGGGAUCGAGCAUGUGUCUCCCUAGAAAUAUGGUUCAACACAUUAUCGUCAAUCCACUUCCUGAUAAAACUGUAAACCUGUUUGUGCAACAGGUUCCACUCUUCAUCGGUUUUACUUUCAGAUUUUAUAGUGUCAAAGACCGGCUGAUAAAAAUUCUUGAUAUAGAGCAGAUCUUCCAUUUUCUCCUUUCAAAUGGCAUAAUUAAUGCCAUUUAAGGUAACCAUUCUACUUGUGUUGACUUCCAUUGUUACCAAAAAAUACAGAUAUUGCAAACUGCGGGCUCUGAUACCAGUUUGUUGGAUAAAUUCAGAAUAACAACAAAAGUAUUUGUGGUAAAAUAAUAGAAAAAUAAAUGAAAAUAAUGACACCAAGGAUUUUACAUGAAAACCCUUUUAAAUAAGGAAAAAACCACGGACUAAGAAUAGCAACUGAUAUUACUAUAGUAAGGAAUUUUUACACCAUAGUAACAAGUACAAUACUCAAACUGACUACUACACACUCAAAAUAAAUAACCCUAUUUUGACUCACACCUUACUAAAAUAUCGUUCACUCUAAUUUUUUUCUUCACAGACUAAUUUUUUUAUAACAAUCUAUGAAAUACCUCAUUGCUCUCUAAUUGUUUUUCUCUCUUGUUUUGGUGUGUUUUUGAAGUGAGCCGAAGCUCUCAAUUUAUAGGCAACAAACAACCCACGUUGAUGUCAUUGGUGACAUCAAAAUACUAUUUCCUUCUUGACUUUUCUGUAACCAAUAAAUGCAAAAUUUGACAAAAGACAUGCAGUAAUUUUUUACUAGGAAAUUUCCUGCAUUGUGAAUGAUAGGGCUGGACCCCAUAAUUAUUUCCUCUUUUGCAAAAAUUUCCGUUUGCACCCCUUUUUGCUGUCUUAUCUUUUUUUUUUUUUUUAAAAUCAACAGUGGUAUCAGAGCCUAUUGAUGUUAUGGGAUCUGUUUCUAAAGAACUUUCAUAUAAUUUUUAACCCAUAUGGGCUACCAUUUUAAUUUGUUGCUUCGCACAGGCUAUUUUUGACGAACAUUUUGAAAAAAUGGCGAGCAACCGUCUCCCUUUGAAUGCCUCAAAAAGUUUCACCGGCAAACAUUAACAUAUUUGGUCCGUGAAAAAAAUCAUAUUUUGAAAUCUAUAAUCUAUUAGGUGUUGUAAUAGAAGAACGAUGCUUAAUGAUAUCGAAUCCAUGAUAAAUAACAUACUAUAGAAUGACUAGGAAGCAUAAGAUUCAUAUGAUGAAUUGAUGAUCUGCUCUCUGGCACAUAGUAUGUGCGCAGGAGCAAACAACAUUAUUUUGUAGAAAUCCUAAACUAUGCUCAUGUCAAUCUUCCCCUUAGGGACAACAUCUUCUGGAUUCACAUCUACCUUCUUGUAUUUAUACCAAGAAGCGCAGAGUAAAUAAAAGCCAAAGUUGAGCACACUCAAUCCUGCUAGCAACCAAUAAAAGUAAUCGAGCUUGUCUUUGUUCAAGUUGUUGUUAGCUAGCCAACCACCACUUACUUUGUUCACUAUGCUCACUACUAUUGAACUUGUGUAGUAUCCAAUUGCCAGUGAAGACCAAGAAAUUGCAGUACUUAGUGCUUUCAUGCUGGAUGAACUCUCGGAAUAGAAGAAAUCCAGUAACCCCACUAAUGUGAACAUAUCGGCUAGACCAAAGAUCGCGUAUUGAUAGCCUAGCCAGAAGACACUCAUUGGCAAUGGAGUGGCGGAUUCAACCAUGUUGUGCUUAAUGGCAACUGAUUUACGGUGUUUUUCUACAACAGCAGCUACUGCCAUUGACAGAGCUGAAAGUACUAGGCCAACACCUAUACGUUGUAGCUGUCUAAUUCCCGUUGGAAUCCCUGUAAAUUUUCUUGCUAUCGGAAUGAAAACGCGAUCGUAGAUAGGGAUCAGGACAAACAUAAACAGCAGGGGAAUUGCAGGAAUUGAAGCUCCUGGAACUUCAAACUUGUGGAUUUUUCUGUCCAGUGUUGUGCUUUGUUGGAUUGUAAAAGUCUGGAGCUGAGCAAAACAAGUGUUCAUGAAGACAGUACUUAAUAUAAUUGGCAGCAUUCUGACUACAAUUUUUGUCUCUUCAACUUGUGUGACAGUACAAAGUUUCCAUGGUCCAUGUGUAUUUGAUGUGGAUGCCUCGUGAUCAGUCCUCAUUAUCGCUGCCCGGUCCAAGAACCUACAAAUAUUUCAGGGCUUUGUUACUUGGGCUAUAUCAAUUAUAACUAGAACAAAGAUGAGAGAUUGUAAAUGCGUUGUUAACAUACUUGAAUUGAUCAGUUUUUCGAAGAAUCUCAGUAUCAUAUCGAGCUUCUUUAUCAUGAAUUUCAUGUAACUCGUGUUCAUUCUCUGACAAAGGAAGAUUUCUGUUUCUAAGCACAACAACAAACACCUGCAUAAUGCGCGUAAGGGGGCUUCCAUUUGUGACAUUGUUUCUAUACAAUGAUUUUCCCAAUGUUAGGAACAGAAUUGCCAAUCCUACUACGAUACUGCAUACAGCAAAAGACCAAUCCCAUCCUUGAUUCUCACUUAUCCAAACGACAAAUGUGACACCAAAUAGGGCUCCAGUGGUGAGAAAGAAAACAAGCCAAUUGAAGUAGCUUGACAAUUUAGCAGCCUCUUUAGGGUCCUUCUCAUCGUAUUGAUCUGCUCCUAAAGGUGGUGCUGCUGCUUUGAUCCCACUGGUCCCAAUUGCAACUAGAUAAAGUCCUGCGUAUAAGAUUGCUAAUUGACCUUUAUUUGCAGACUCACAUUGAUUCACCUGGCUCAAAGGUACAUCCUUACAAGGAAAUGGUCUUAGUUGUCGAAAAUGUGCUUGCACUGCUAGAAGUGCAUACCCCUGAAUGCGAAAGCAAACACUUAAGAGUCCGUUUGACUUAGCUGACUAAAGUAACUAAUAAGUAUCAAACGGUGAACCUGAUUUUGUGAAUAAACAAUUAUAUGCUUGGAUCAGCCAAACAGAACACAAGUCUUGAAUCUAGAAAAGUAAGUGUCUGAAAGGAAGGCACCAAAUAAUGCUAGCAAAAAUGCUGUUCCCAUGAAGUUUGUAACGGCAUUAGCUGAUUUUAUGAUGCUGAAGUUCAUAUAUCCAUAAAAGUAAGUCACCAAGCUCACACCGGUUGCGAAGAAAGCCAUGACAUCAAUUCCCGCCAUAGCUGCAUGGUUAAAAGAUUAACAUAUUAUUAACACUCUCAAAGCCAGUUGUUCAUAUUACAUAGAAUUAUGCCUUUGUUUUUACCAUAUGCAAAUAAAGCUGCUCUAUUUCCCCCUAGCCUUGGUAGUUGUUUGGGUUCAGUCUUGACAUCUCUGCACAUUCCCUGCAUAAGUUCACACACAAAACUAAUUACUCAUAAAUUCCAUGCAUGGUUAUGAGAAUAUUCUCUAGGAGAGCUUACCAUUUUGAUGUUGUAGUUUUCCUUCAACAACAAAAAUGAGAAAAAAGAAAUUUAUAUUGCUAGUGGAAGUUUUUUUAUGAAUGUUUGAGUUUAUCAAAAUCUAUCAUGUUUCUUCCUUUAUAUAAUAGAAUGAAUAGAUAUAAUAUUUCACAUAGGGACAAGAAAAGAUAAAAAGGUAUCAAACUGCAUCUUCCUAUUUGAAUACUUAAAUGAGUUUUAGGAGGGUUCUUUUUGUUCCUUGUGAUUAAACCAAGGGACGAGCUACAAUAUUAGGUACAGACGAACCCGAUAGCACUUCUUAGACCAUGUGUUUGAAAUAUUUAAUUGUGAAUUCAAUAACUAAAUGAUGUAUUGGUUCGGUGACGAGUUCAAAACCCAUAUAUUUCAAAUCCUGGAUCCUAGAAACGAACGAUGUGUUAUAUUAUGACUUUAUUAUUUGACAUAAGCAUGUGCAGAUGACUUAAUGCCUAGUUGAAAACUGAGACGGCUGAAAAUUAAAUUCAAUUAUUUGGUCUCAGCUUCUGUUUGUCACGAACCACUCCAAACAUCUUAAUCACAAAGAAUAAUACUCAUUAGUGAAAACUAGGCAUCACAUUUCAACAUGUAGUUAAUCAAGCAGAUGGUUGUAAUAUUUUAGCACCGAAACAGUGAUGUUUGUGGGCUUUUCCAUCUUAUAGUUCUAGUGGUCAAUGGUAUCUUAACCUGAGCAAAGGGACAAAAAGUAUCAGAUUAACCGUGGGUCCAAAUUUGUAAAAUAAUGUUGAUAAAAUAGACUAGUUAAAAUCUUAAGCAUGUUUCUACCCCAUAUUGUAAAUCAACAACAGCAUAUUCAGUGUUAAUCCCAUAAGUAGGAAAUAUAUGAGGAGGGUAUAUAGAGUGUACACAGAUCUUAACCCUAUCUCAUGGAGUUAGAGAGACUAUUUCUAAAAGUUCCUCGGCUCAAGUGUGGCAAGUCUAACAUAAUACAUAAAAGCGGGCCCAUAUUGUUAUUCCCUCACAAUAAUUGAUUUGAAAAGGAACUCUUCAAGUCAGUGUAAGAAAAUUAUUAGGAGGUCAACGGGGUUUGAUGCUGAUUGUAACUUAGCAUUUUAACACUCACUUUAGGACAAAAAAACUAACAUUAUUAUGCUAGAGAUACAUAGGUGGCAACAUAUAUAUACAAAAAAUAACUCCGAUUUGACAUCAUUUACGCAGUAGAUUUGAGCCCAAAAAUGAAAAAAAAAAAAAAAAGAUAAAAAUAUUAAAAAAGAGAAAUUUGUUUAUAGUUAACAAUAUAUUGCCGGCUUUAAUUUGGCAUCUAUCAAAGGCAUAAACUGUUGAAUAUCCAAGAAUUAAGGUCAGCUUAAUCAGUUUUUAUUUUAACAAUAAAUAUCAAAAGUUGACCGCAGCAUAUUUACCAGAUGACACAUUAUAAGUUGAUGCGUUAAGACAGAAACGUUUUAACUAAAACUGAAAUGUCUCAGAGUUUGGUGAAAUUGAUGGAUCAAAGUCGUUUGGCUUAUUAUUGUGGAAUAAAUACUUAUAAAGAGGUAUUUAUUGAGGAAUAUGAUUAUGAUAAACAAAUAGUUGCUAGUUGAUUAAUUGCCAACUGUAAUGUUCAGUUAAAAGGAAGCUGUUGAUGUGACAAGUUUGUUAGAAAGUUUGUUAGAGAUAGUAGAUAUUUUUGUAUCUUGAUCAUAGGCGGUUAGUGGAACUAAACCAUAGUUAGUAGAGAUAGGAAUUAGUAUAUAAGCAAAAAUUGAUCAUUGCUGUGCACUAUGUACAUACACAAAAUCAUUCUUAGUUUUACUCUUCCCCAAAUACUCUAAUUUCUCUGUGUAUUAUUUGAAAUUGAAAGAUCUUUGGGAUGAAUAUGAUUCUAUAGUGCCACCUAUUGCGUGUGACUGUGAAAAAUCGAAGGAAUAUGGUGAUAGUAUGAGUAGACAGAGAUUAUUGCAAUUUCUCAUGGGGUUAAAUGAUAGUUACGGGCAAGCAAGGAGCCAAAUCCUCAUGAUGAAUCCUUCCCCCAGUGUAAACCAGUGUUAUGCAUUAAUCAUUCAAGAUGAGAGUCAGCGGGCAUUGAGUGGAGCACAAUAUUUAAUUGGUGAAAUCAGUGAUCCUACUGCUCUAUUCACAAAUAAAGCUAGCAGUAGUGGUUUGGGACUCAAGGAUUUAGAGGACAAGGACCCGGUGGACGUGGAGGUCAAUCUUAUAAGGGACAAAAAGGAGGUUUUCUAUAUUGUGAUCAAUGUGAUAUGAAGGGUCACAGUAGAGAGAAUUGCAACAAGCUGAAGUAUUGUACACACUGCCACAUGCAAGGCCACACAAAAGAGACAUGUUACCAAUUGAUAGGAUAUCCUGCAGAUUAUAAAGAAAGAAAAAGGUUAAUUUUGUUACAACACCUUCUAUUGGACCGCAGAUGCAGUACUUUGGCCCGUUGCUUGAGGGUGAAGAUAGCCAACAAAGGUCCAGUUCUCACAUGCAGUAUGCAGGUAACGGAAAUAAGCAAUAUGCUCCUUUUAUGCAGCAUGCAGGAAAUAAAAAUGGCUAUCAUCAAGGAAGCAUUAAUGGUAUGCAACAAUCAGUGUUUAGCAAUGGAGCAAUUCCACAGUGCACUCCAACUCAGAACAAUCAGAUUCUUCACAUACUACACAAGCCUGUGACAAGUGAGUCAAGUGCAAAUGUGGCAGGUAUUUUUUCUGGAACUUCUUGUUAUCAUAAUAUGGUCGAAGAUCUAGACUGGAUAAUAGAUAGUGGUGCCACAAACCAUAUGGUUAGUCAUGAACAAUUCUUACAUCAUGGAUUGACAGUUACCAAUUCAGAGAGGGUACAACUUCCUACCGGUGAUUCAGUUGUUAUUACACAAACAGGAAAAUCGCUUUUGCCAGGAGGUGAUGUAGUUGAUAAUGUGUUGUAUGUUCCAACUUUCAAAUUUAAUCUUCUUUCAGUAUCAAAACUGACUAGCAAAUUUUUUGAUUUUGUCAUUCUUCACGAUCUCUUCACUGGGAGAGUGAAAGAGAUUGGUAGAGAAGUAGAAGAAUUAUAUACUUUGAAAUCAAAACAACUAUUGGGAUCUAAGCAGAAGUCACUUGGAGAUGUGGCAACUUAUGGUGAUGCAAAGAUAUGGCAUAAGAGAUUAGGGCACAUCCCUAUGAGUGUUCUUGGAAGAAUGAACUUGUUCAAGAAUAAAAUUUAUAUUACUUUACCAAACUGUGAUGUAUGUCCUUUAGCAUGACAAGUUAGGUUACCAUUUUCGGUUAGUCAUGCUAAAAGUUCUAAAUGUUUUGAUUUGAUACAUUUAGAUGUAUGGGGACCAUACAAAGCUGCUACACAUAAUAGAAUGCAAUAUUUCCUUACAAUGGUUGAUGAUUAUUCUAGGUGGACCUGAUAUUUUUAAUCCACCUUAAGUCUGAUGUCUCUACUAUCUUAAAACAUUUCAUUAUGAUGAUUAAUUCUCAAUUUGAUCAGAAAAUCAAGGCAUUCAGGUCGAAUAAUGGUGGUGAGUUUUUCAACGCACAGUGUUAUGAGCUGUUUAAGGAUCAUGGAAUUAUUCACCAAAGUUCUUGUCCACAUACACCUCAGAAGAAUAGUGUAGUUGAAAGAAGACAUAGACAUAUUUUGGAAACAGCUAGAGCAAUAAGGUUUCAAGGUCAUAUACCAAUCAGAUUUUGGGGGAGUGUAUUCUUAGUGUUGUUCAUAUCAUUAAUAGAAUUCCUUCGACAGUAGUACUACACAACAGAUCACUUUUUGAGAUGAUGUUUAUGAGAUCACCCGACCUAUCUUACAUGAGAGUGAUCGGAUGUUUGUGCCAUGCUACCAAUCUAAACAAAUAUGAUAAAUUUGGACCAAGAGCUAUCAGAUCAGUUUUAAUAGGAUAUGGUGAUGCACAAAAGGGUUAUAGACUUUAUGAUCUUGAGAAUCAUACUUUUUUUAUUAGUAAGGAUAUGGUGUUUGAUGAAACACCGUUUCCUUUUCAAAAUUAUUCAGAUGUUGUGAGUAAAAAUCCACCAUGGGAUGUUGCUCAAUGUUUGAAAUUCUCUAUACUAUCUACUGAUUCACAUCCAGUGUAUGAUGAGAUUGCAAUAACUAGUCCACCUUCAACAGAAGAUGUUUCAGUCUCUCCUAUGGUACAGGAUCAUUCCUCUUCAUCUGCUCAUGAAAUACAUACUACACCAGUGGUUGAUAUACACAGAUCACCAUGUCUUGCUGAGACAAGAGGGUUUAACAAGACAAGUAGACUACCUAUCUGGCACAAGGAUUUUGUUACGGGAACAAAGAGCAAGUCUCGUCAGUGAUUGUAUUCAAUCACAAACAAUGUUGAUUAUUGUAAUGACCCUUACGGUCAUUUUCCUGUAUUUUUCAUAUAAUUUUAGUACUAUCUAAACAUAUCGUGGAUUCUUUAUUUUAAUUUGACAUUUGGUAGAAAUAUAAUUUAGUACCCUUCUAGAAUACUUUUGAUAUUUGUAAAAUUCUUUAAGUGAUGAUAUAUUUAUAUCACUUUAUAAUGGACUUUUAUGAUUUAUUAAUAUUUUAAGCGGAGAUAGUAAUUUUAGAAAUGUUAAAAUAUUAUUAUUACAUAAUAGAGGUUUUGUUAGAAAUAAUUUUCUAUUAAUUAUUUUAUAUUCAAAAUAUUAUAAUUCUUUUACCAAGAAUUUAUGCAAUACCCGAUUUUGUACACAAUGUAGGAAAAUUGUUAGAACCGUACACGUGGGUGAAGAAGAUUGGCAACAACUUGUUGCUGCUUAUUAGCAGGCCACCUUUUCUUAUAUAUAUAUAUAUAGUAUCAUUGGUCCUUUUUAAAGGAAAAGAAAAGUGACCAUCCACUGCUAGUACAUAUACAUGCGUUGGCUUUCUGUUUUUCCAUAUCUGAACCUUCGUUUGCUUCUUUUAAAUUGGUUGGGAUUCUUAGUGAGUCUUACAAAUUACUUAUAAGUUAAGAGGCGUCUGAAAAAUAGUUUCUUUGAUAUUAUCCAAGCUUAGAUUCUGCUAGUAUUAUUCGGAGGUUUUGCGGAAAGAUAUUAUAGCUUUGGCGUCCAGGUAGGCUAGGUUUAUCCUACUUUUAGAUUGAGCUUAUAUACCAAAAUUGUGAACUAUUAUGCUAGCUUUGAAUAAAUACUUGUAGAUGCAUAUUAUUUGANNNNNNNNNNNNNNNNNNNNNNNNNNNNNNNNNNNNNNNNNNNNNNNNNNNNNNNNNNNNNNNNNNNNNAAUUAAGAUUAAUGAAUGAUUAUUUAGACAUUUAUAUUGUUAUGAUAUGAAUUUUAAUAUUAUCGGUGGAUUAUGAUUACUAUGAGUUCCGGUUCGAGUCCGGCAAUUGACUAUUAUGAUUACUAUGAGUUCCGGUUCGAGUCCGACAAUUGACUAUUAUUAUUACUAUGAGCUCCGGUUCGAGUCCGGCAUCUGAUUAUAGUUGGGGUUACUCUGAGCUCCGGUUCGAAUCCGACAUCUGAUUAUUUAUAUUUACUUUCACCACUUGUCUGUCCCACCGGCUUAUGGGGGUACGGUUGGGUUAAUUGUUUUCUUCAGUGUGCCUAGCAAGCUUAUGGGGGCUCAGUUAGGUUAUGUUUGAUUUAUUUGUUAUUACUGCAUCAUUAUUUUUCUGUAUUGCACAAGUCUAUUCCUUUACAGCCGUUGCAUAGCGUGGUAGUUGUUUACCUUUCCAUCCCUACUUACUAAUGACUCAGAUUAUGCCCUCACAUUGUAGUUAUACCUUUUCUGUAUUAAGCUCAAUCGGCCGAUGAUGCCUACUGAAUACCCGUGGUUUUUGGUACUCAUACUACACUUCUGCAUCUUUUUCCUGAUGCAGAUCCAGGUACUAGCAAUCGGCAUUGACGCGGUUCCUACCUUUAAGUGCUGAUUUAGAGCGGGGUGAGCUUACUGUCGUCCGAGGCUGAUCCUCCUCUAUCUACUCUAGUUAGUCUUUUUCACUCGAGACUACUUGUGUACAUUUUAGAUUUUUGUCUAGUACUCUGGGUACCUGUUAGUAGUGGCUCUAGUACUGACCUUAUCAAGUCUUAGGAGGAGGGAUUCAUUUGUAUAGUUGACCCUUUUUUCCUCCUCUCGUUUUGAUAUAAUAUAUAUGCUUUCUUCUUAGUUUUCACUUAUUAUUGUGAUUGUUAUCAUCAUAUGCGAUAUUUUAUUUUGUCCCUGCCUAUUAGCCCGUUACCUAUCAUUCCGGGCUAUGAUUUGGCUUGCCUACUGGUGGGAUAAGGUAGGCGCCAUCACGACUUAAGAAAUCAGGUCGUGACAAUUAUAACAGUCUUUCUUAUUCAUACCAAUGUUACAUUGCAAAUGUAUCAAUAGAUACUGAACCACAAUCAUAUCAACAGGCCAUUACUGAUAGUGGUAGAUAGAUUCAAGCCAUGAAGGAAGAAAUUCAGGCCCUUGAAGACAACAAGACUUGAGAAAUUAGUUCAUUGCCACCCGGUAAGAAAGCAAUUAACUGUAAAUGGGUUUAUAAGAUCAAAUACAAGGCUAGUGAAGAAAUGGAGAGAUUUAAUGCAAGGUUAGUCGCCAAAGGCUACAAUCAAAAAGAGGGAUUGGACUAUCAAAAAACUCUCUCCCAUUGUUAAAAUGGUUACUGUUAGAAGUGUUUUGGCUAUGGCUGCAUCUAGGAGAUAGCAUGUUCAGCAAAUGAAUGUUUAUUAUGCCUUCUUACAAGGAGAUUUAGUUGAAGAAGCUUAUAUGACACUACCACAAAGAUUCCAUUAUGAUAAGAAAGGUGAUAAUAAGGUGUGCAGGCUGGUCAAGUCUUUGUAUGGGCUUAAACAAGCCUCAAGACAAUGGAAUGUGAAGCUCAUUAAUGCACUGGUAGCAGCAGGAUUCACACAAAGUCAUCUUGAUUAUUUAUUACUGACAAAGAAGUCUGUAGAUGGUAUUGUAGUCAUUUUGAUUAAAGAUGCCAAACAAGUACUUAAAGAUAAUUUCAAGAUUAAAGAUCUUGGUGACUUAAAAUAUUUUUUAGGCAUUGAAUUUGCCAGAAGCUCAGCAGGUAUCCGAAUGCAUCAGAGAAAAUAUGCCCCGAAACUUAUCUCUGAUUUGGGAUUAGGUGGAUCUAAACCAAUUAAUACUCUAAUUGAGAUGAACUUGAAGCUGACUACACAUGAAUUUGAUAAUUACUUUGGAGAUUCUUCUGAUUCUCUACUAAUGGAUCCUAGUGAAUACCAAAGGCUAGUUGGGAGGUUGUUGUAUCUUACCAUCACUAGACUUGAUAUUUCUUUUGCUUUUCAACAUCUGAGUCAAUUCAUUCAUGCUCCAAAGACAUCUCACAUAACUGCCGCCAUCAGGGUGGUCAAAUAUGUGAAGCAGGCACCAGGCCUUGGUAUUUGUAUGAGUGGUCAGUCACAUGAUUCUCUUCAGGCUUAUUGCGAUGCAGACUGGGUUCAUGUCUUAAAUCCAGAAGGUCUAUUACAGGUUACAUGAUUAAGUUUGGUAACUCUUUGAUUUCCUGGAAGCCGAAGAAACAAUCUACUAUUUCCAGAAGUUCAGCAGAGGCGGAGUACCGAAGCCUUGCCUUGACUAUUGCUGAAAUUAUAUGGAUCGCUGGUUUAUUCAAGGAAUUAGACAGGUCCUUGUCUCUUCCUGUUCCCUUGUUUUGUGAUACCAAGGCAACUGUUCUAAUUGCUGCUAACCCGGUGUUCCAUGAACGUACUAAGCAUAUAGACAUUGACUGUCACUUUAUAAGGAAGAAGGUCCAAGAUGAUCUGGUCCUUAUUCAGUAUCUAUCCACAAAAGAGCAGUUUGCAGACAUCUUGACAAAGGGUCUUGGUUGUGUGCAACAUUCUUAUCUUCUUUCCAAGCUAGGCUUGCAGAAUAUCUUCAUACCACCUUGCUUGAAGGGGGUAUUGAGGAAUAUGAUUACGAUAAACAAAUAGUUGCUAGUUGAUUAAUUGUCAGCUGUAAUGUACAGUUAAAAGGAAGCUGCUGAUGCGGCAAGUUUGUUAGAAAGUUUGUUAGUAGAUAUUUUUGUAUCCUGAUCAUAGGCGGCUAGUGGAACUAAAACAUAGUUAGUAGAGAUAGGAAUUAGUAUAUAAGCAGAAAUUGAUCAUUGUUGUGCACUAUGUACACAAAACAUCGUUCUCAGUUUCACUCUUCCCCAAAUACUCUGAUUUCUCUUUCUCUUCUGUAUGAAUUGGCUAGUCAGCGAACUCACAUGAAGUUCUCGAUCACAAAUUAACAGUAUUUACACCAAACAGAUUCAAUUUGAUAUGGCCAAGUGAUUUAAUAAAGUGAAAAUAGUCAUUAAUAAACCAUGACUAAGUGAAAUAUAUGUACAAACAUUAAUUUGGUUUAAGCACUUGGUGCAGGUACGUCUUUACCAAGUAGUUAUCUCCAGCCGCUGUUGUUGUCAACUUCUACAAUCACUACACAAGUUUAGAUAGAAAUACCAGGGUGGAAAUAAGAAUUGAUUAACAUGGAUAUCGUGAUAGGUCUAGCUUGUACUUAUUGAAAGCAUGGCUAGAUAUGGGUGAUUGUAGAUCGGCUUACAAAGUCAGUUUACUUCCUACUGGUCAAGACAGCAGACACAGAAGCUCAGCAUGCAAAGGUUGUAUCUGUCUUUGUCUUGUGUGUGUACGUCGCAAUUGAUGAAGUGUGACCUUGAGGCUUGAGUUGUCCAAAAGAAAGGAGUGAGUUAUCUUGCAUGUACGUUUUUUCCUAAUGCACAAACUGCUUUAAUUUAUGUUACUCGGACUAUUUAAAAUGUCAACUGAUCAUGCAUAUCUGAUUCUUCAAAAAUAGUACUACCUCCGUCCUAUUUUAUGUGUAGCCAUUUGAUUGGGCGCAGAGUUUAAAAAAUAAGUGAUGACUUUGUAAAGUUUAUAAAAUUAUCCCUCUUAAAGUUAUUUUAAUGUUUACUUUUUAGUGUCUUUUCUUAAUAAGUGGGAUCCACUAAGGAUGAAAUGGUAAUGAUGUCAUUAAAUAAUAAUUACCAAAUAAGAAAAGAUGACAUUCUUUUUAGGACGGACCAAAAAAAAAAUGGCGACACAUAAAAUGGUUUUAGAGAAUUCGACACUGAAGUGGUAUCAGAAGUAGAGAGUCUUUGCAACUUAGGCUUUAAUUGACAAAAUCUGUUAAAAACCUAGACUCAUUGAGAAGCACAUUCCUGUCAAAAAAAGUAAAGGUGGCUUUUGAUUUGAAGUUCCCAAGAUUCUGAAGGAGCUUGGUCUUAUACUACAAUAUUAAGUUAAUUAAGUGCUGCAAUUAAAUUGUUUGGUUUGAUGUGAACAUCGGGUGCGAGUGAGACGACAUAAUAUGUUCCUCUCAUGUUAUUAUGAAUUUUACUGAUUACUAACGAUUAAUUACUAUGAACUUCUUAAUCAGGAUAUAGGUCCAUCCUUUUUAAAUAGACGUGCUAAAAGGUAGACCAAAUUAGAAUUUAACAACUUAACAUCUUAGGCUUUGUAUAAAAUCAUUGCUAAGUUUCCAUGUUUCAAUCCUUUAUAUGUUGGUUAUUACUAAUUUUAUAUGUGUGCUAUCAUCUAAAAGCUUGAAGUGAGAAAUAACUUCAAUCAGAUUCAGAGAUGAAAAAUCUUCCUAAGUUACGUAAAAGCAUGUACCAAAUGUCCAACUUUAGGUACAAAAAUUGUAUACAACCUCAUAAAUACAUUCUCCCAAGUAAAGUAAAAUUACUUCUAAACUUGGGCUACAAGAAACUACAAAUCAUAUUUAACGUCCAAUAUUCAUCAAAAAUAUAUAUAUAUAUAUAUAUAUAUAUAUUAUUCACAUCAAUUUCUUCCUAGAUUUUCAACUUGCUAUAAAUCAGCAAAAGAAGCAAUUAGAGACAACAAUAAGUAAAAUCUAUAGUUUUUGUUUUUGAAUUUGUUUACCUUUUCUUUUUGAUUUUGAGCAUCGAAUUUUAUGUUGCUUUUUCUUUUUAUUUUAUUUUUCCAGUUAUAAUUCCUCCGUAUGCUCUUGACGUUUAUGAAAUUAAUCCCUAUAUGUCUUAUGGUGCUUUCUUGGAAAAAAUUUUGCGUUUUGAUUUUGUAAGUAUUUGAUAUCUAAUCAGAUUUAUGUGUGUGUGUGUUUUGUGGUAUUUUUUGUGUUUCAUAAUUGACCAACUUUUUAUUUUAUGGGUACCUUAAAUUGGACCAAAUCUAUAUCUCUUUUUUUGAGUUUUUGUGUAUAAAUUUAUGGGCCCAUGAAUUUAAUCAUAUCUAUUUUUUUAAAGUAAAAAUAACAUAAAUCUCAACCUUAUUAGAAUUAUUUACACUCUCUCCCAACUCCUUAAUUACUUUACUCUCUCUCGCGAUUCAUAUACAUAACAAGGUCGAAUCAUAUGCAUAACAAGGUCGAUUCAUAUACAUAACAAGUAUGACAAGGCCGACAUAUACAUAACAGGGCCGACAUAUACAUAGAAAGCUAUGUAUAUGCAUUUUUAGAGAAAAAUAAAAUUUUUGUUAUAUAUUUGGAGAGAUGAGAUUUUUUGUAAUAAGUGAAACUAAGUUGUGGGUUUGUGUAAUUUUUAGUUUUUUAAAAUGUUCGUUCGGGUUUCAAGGAAUUUUCAUAUAAAGGUUAGGUUAGUGUUAUUAUUUUUAUAUCUUGACUAUCAGUGGCGGAGCUAGGAUUUUCACUAAAGGGUUCACAAGUGAACAUACUAACCGAAGGGGGUUCAACAUUGACUGUAUAUAUAUAAAAAAUGAUUUUAACCAUGUAAAUAUAGUAUAAUAUUUCGCCGAAGGGGUUCGGAUGAACCCUUAUAUAAAGGGUAGCUCCGCCCUUGUUGACUACCGUAUUGUUUUGUUAUAAUUUUUGUUCUGUUGCUAUCUGCUAUCUUUUAGAGACGAAUGUUCGAUAAGUCAAAGGUCAGAGGUUUUUGGUUUUAAUCCUCUGAAGUCUAUUAGUAGACGCAUUUAUUUGUACUUCUCUAUUGAUAACAUAUAUAUCACGCUCUUCUUUAAGUAUAUUUUUUUAUCUUAAAAGUUUUGCAAAGUCUCAUUUUUUUUCUUGCAGUGUUUGUUGUCUGAUAUACUACGCGCGCCCACUAGACUAGUAGUAUAUAAAAACUGGCAAAGCAUGCAACUUUGUGAUCAUUCUACUCAGUUAGCCUUCUUCUCCCCCUCCUCUUCCUCUCGUUCGCGUGCAAGUAUGGAUCUCCAGGAGUCAAUCACCAACCAGACUGACGUUACUUUCAUGCUCACUAAGCACGUUUUCUCAGAAGAGGUUGAAGGCAAUUCUAACAUGGUGCUCUCUCCUCUCUCAAUUCAAAUAGUUCUUGGCCUCAUUGCUGCCGGCUCUAGCGGACCUACUAAGGACCAACUGCUCCAUUUCCUAAAGUCCAAAUCUAUCGAUGAACUCAACUCUCUUUAUUCGCAUAUUCUCAACACCGUCUUUGUUGAUGGCAGUCCCAAUGGAGGGCCGCGUCUGUCUGUUGCUAAUGGCAUUUGGAUAGAACAAACGCUGCCUUUCAACCUUGAUUUCAAGCAAGUUGUGGAUAAUGUUUACAAGGCUACUUCAGAGUCUGGAUUUCAUGAACAAGGUCAGGCCUUUAUUUGUUGAAAUUUUGUUUCUUUGAUGUUGACUGAAAACAGUUGGUUUUCGAACUAUCAUAACCCCUAAAUAAUACAAACGAGUGCAAUUAAUAUGAGAUUGAAACGCAGUUUAUUGAACGAUUGAUUGCUUUAUCAAUCCGAGUCUAAAACAGUGGAGAGUGUCAAACAAUUCGGACAGAGGUCAUAUUUACUUAGCCCUGUAAUGAUUGUAGCAUCAACUACAUAAAAUUAUAAAAUGUCAAUGUUCGAAACUGUUCAUAUUAGCAUUAGUGCAGUUGAAAGAAUGAAAGAAAUUUAUCUGAUAAAUGAGCAGGAUCGAGAGGAAAAAAGUACUACGUAUGCCCUAUCUUCUAUGUAGUGUCAUCAAAUUUGGAGUGAAAUGUCCGUUUGUUAGUUAUAUAUAAAAAAUAAACUAUUUGUCUGAAGCAAUUCAUAUGUAUCUAAUUUUAUCAUUCCAUUUUUGUUUAUGCCAAUUUGAUAAAGGCGGAUGAGGUUGCCGGUCAAGUCAAUCAAUGGGCUAAAACGAAGACAAAUGAUCUCAUCAAAGAGAUUCUUCCUUGUGGCUCAGUGAACAACACGACAAGGAUGAUCUUGGCCAAUGCACUAUAUUUUAAAGGAGAAUGGGAUGAGAAGUUUGAAGCUUUUAAUACGAAACACCACAAGUUUCAUUUCCUCAAUGGAGGGUCUACUUGAGCACCAUUCAUGACUAGUAAGAAGAAGCAAUACAUUAGUGUCUUCAAGGGCUUUAAAGUGUUGAAGCUUUUCUAUAAAAUGGGCACCAACAACAACAUACCCAGUAUAUUCUUACAAAGUGGGGACACACGUAAGUUCUGCAUGUAUUUUAUUCUCCCCGAUGCACAUGACGGAUUACCUGCUUUACUUGACAAAAUCACCUCAGAACCUGGAUUCUUAAAUCGCCACAUUCCGUCUAGACAAGUAGAAGUGGGAAAGCUUCUUAUCCCAAACUUCAAAACAACUUUCGGGUUUGAAGCUCCUGAGGUUCUAAAGGGACUUGGCCUCACAUUGCCUUUCUUUCCUGGUGGUCUCGAUAAGAUGGUGGAUUCCGCUGAAGCUAAGGCACUGUUUGUCUCGAAUAUGUUUCACAAGUCCUUCAUUGAGGUAAAUGGAGGAGGAACUGAAGCUGCAGCUGCUACUGCUGCUGUUAUAAAGGUAUCCCGUAAGUUUGAGGCGCCACCAGAUUUUGUUGCGGACCAUCCGUUCCUAUUCCUUAUAAGAGACGAAUCUACUGGAGUGGUGUUGUUCACCGGCAGUGUGCUGAAUCCUCGUGCUGAUUAGCCUACAUAUAGCAAGAAAGAACGAUUGUGUUUAGUGUAUUUUGACCUGAUAUAGUAUUCAAGAGUCACUUAAGAGUUUUGAUUAGUUUUAUUUAGCUUUUUCUUUUUCUUGGAACAACUUGGGUUCCAAACUCAGAUUCAUUGGCCGAUCUUUGAGUUAAUUCCUCAAAUCACUCAACUAAUAGUUAUUAUAUCAAAAAGUCACUCUUCUACUUGAUUCUUUCUUGAACAAAGAAAAUGACUUUCUCUCUUCUACUUGGUUCUUUCUUGAACAAACAAAGAGACUUUCUAAGAUAAUAACUAUUAGUUAAGUAGCCAUCUGAAAAAAUCAACCUGUCGAUCUCUUUGUUGAUUAGAAAAUAAAAUUGCAAGUAGGAGAUGAACGUGUGACUCUAACUAUAUAGAGGACAUGUGUCACUUAUUUUACAUCAGAGAUUAGGUGUGUGAAUAUUAGUGGUAGAUUCAACAAUGGAAGGUUUCCUCCCUUUUACAACAUUAAAAAAUUUAAAUGACUAAAUCUUAGAGCUUUAACAACUUAUAUUAUACCAGAUGGACGAAAAAUAAAAAAGAAAAAAAGUAUUUGCUUAAUUUUCAAGCUACUUGCUUAGUGAUCCCUUCUCUUAUCCAAUAAAUAAAUAACAAUAUCUUGACUCUAGUUAGCUUGUUCGAGUGAGUCUUACCUGUGUAUGUUCACUUCGUACUUGUGUGAACGCAAUUUCGGUUUUAUGGAAUUGAUUCAAAUACGAAAUCCUACAUGUUAAGUAACAGCUACGCCCUCUGUUUCAAUUUGUUUGUGUUACUUUUUUUUUGUUCGCUUAAUAAAGAAUGUCUCUUUCCUUUUUAGCAACUCUUCAAUUCUAAUUUUGCACGUGACAUGUUUAAGACCAUAGAAUUAAAAAACAUUUUGAUAGAUUCUACAUAUCUUUAGUUUAUGACCACAUCAAAAUCAGACAAAUAAAUUGAAAGGGGUUAGUAUUUUGUAUAUAAAUUCUUCCAAAGCUUUCACCUUUGAUAUGUGUGGUGACAUAAACCUGUCAUGGGACUCAUUCACUCUCGUUCUCACUCUCAUUCUUGCUCGUCUAAUUCUUCCCAUGAUCAAACUACUGAUAUGGAAAUGAAUGAAUCGAUCAUCACCCAGACGGAUGUUUCUUUCAUGCUUGCUAAGCAUGUCUUUUCGAACGAGAUUAAAGGCGAUACCAACCUCGUGUUCUCUCCUCCCUCAAUUCAAAUAGUACUAGGCCUGAUUGCUGCCGGCGCAAAGGGACCAACUAGGGACCAGCUUCUCUGUUUCCUCAAGUCCAAAUCUAUCGAUGAACUCAACUCUCUUUAUUCUCAUCUUGUCAAUAUCGUCUUUGUUGAUGGCAGCCCCAAUGGAGGUCCGCGUUUAUCUGUUGCUAAUGGUGUUUGGAUCGACCAAACACUCCCUCUUAAGCCGUCUUUUAAAAAGGUUGUUGAUAAAGUUUACAAGGCUGCUUCAAAUUCUGUUGACUUUCAGAACAAGGUAAGCCUUUUUUGGUUCAUUCAUCAAAAUCUCGCUUCUUUUGUGCUGGGAUUCAUCAUAAAAUUGAUAUGGAUUAUAUAUAUACUAAACUGCGGCCAACUUGGAUUAAAGUAUAGCUGAUUGAUUGACAAAUCUGACUUUAAAAUAGUGAAAAAAUGCUGAACAAUUAGGACAGAGACCGUAAUAUUUCGCCUUUUUGAUUGUUCACUAUUUAGGCCUAAAUAAUCUAUUUUUUUGCUGCGAAUCCCCCUUUUUGCCUAAAGCAUAAGCUAAUUUUGUUGUAAAAUCUGUUUGUCUUGCUAAUUGAAUAAGGCUACUGAGGUCACCAAUCAAGUCAAUCAGUGGGCUAAAAUGAAGACAAAUGAUCUCAUCAAAGAGAUUCUUCCUCAUGGCACAGUAAACAAUAUGACGAGGCUUAUCUUUGCGAACGCGCUAUAUUUUAAAGGGCUAUGGAAUGACAAGUUCAAUGCUUCAGAAACAGAAGACCAUAAAUUCCAUCUCCUUAGAGGAGGGUCUGUUAAAGCACCUUUCAUGACCAGCAAUAAGAAGCAGUAUGCAGUUACCUUUGAUGGCUUUAAAGUAUUGGGACUUCCUUAUAAACAUGGCAGAGAUACGCGUCGUUUCUGCAUGUAUCUAAUUUUGCCAGAUGCCCGUGAUGGAUUACCAGCUUUAAUCGACAAAAUCAGUUCAGAACCAGGAUUUUUAAACCACCACCUUCCGUGUGUAAAGGUUAAAAUGAUCAAGUUACUUAUCCCUAAGUUCAAAACAACUUUCAGUUUUGAAGCAUCUAAGGUUCUUAAGGGACUUGGUGUCACGUCGCCUUUCUGUGGUGGUGGCCUCACUGAGAUGGUGGAUUCCCCUUUAGCUGGGAGGUUGUUUGUUUCGCAGAUAUUUCACAAGUCCUUCAUUGAGGUAAACGAGGAAGGGACCGAAGCUGCAGCUGUUACAGCUGGUGUAGUAAUGACCAAGUCCUUGAAAUUUGAGAAGGAAAUCGACUUUGUUGCUGAUCAUCCAUUCCUGUUCCUUAUUAGAGACGAUGCUACAGGUGUUGUGUUGUUCAUAGGGAGCGUGCUGAAUCCUGUAGCUGGGUAAUUUGCCCAUAUUGCAUGAAUUAUAUAAGGCUUUGGAAAGAAGUACAGUUCUAUAAUGGACAAAGAGAUGUGUUAUGUAUCCAAAUAACCUUGUUCCUAGUUUAUCUGUUUGAUGAGACCUUGUACUUUCUCUUUGGCACCUUAUAUGUGCUUUUAAUGUGUUUGUGCAUUUCGAUAUGAUAAUAGAGUUUUUAGAGUACUUAGAGUUUACUCUAGAUUUGAUUAAUUGAUAUUUAGUUCUAGGCCUUUGAAAAUAUUUAUAAAAAAUAAGUAAUUAAUAUGGAAAAGGAACAAAUGUACCCGAACUAUGAAAUGUAUCCCGAACUAUGAUAAUUGGUACAUAUGUACCCUUCGUCAUACUUUGAAUAUACAUAUUCUCCUACUGUUAAUGAAAUGGUACGUAUAUGCCCUUCACCCUAACGGAAGGACAUGUAUCGCAAUCUUAAGCAUUUAAUCCAAACACACUACCCAACUCAAUAUUCCUCCACCUCCAUUAACAUAACAAGAAAGGAUGAUUUUAUUUAGAGUAUUUUGAUCUGAUAUAGUAUUCAAGAGUGACUUGAGAGUUUUGAUUAAUUUUAUUUAGUUUUUCUUUUCUAGUUUUUUCUUUUUUCCUGGAACGAGUUGGGUUUCAAACUCAGAUUCAUAGGUCAACCUUUGAGUUAAUUUCUCAGAUCAACUCAACUAAUAACCAUCUGAAAAAUCAACUUGUCGAUCUCUUUGUUGAUUAGAAAAUAAAAUUACAAAUAGGAGGCGAACGUGUGACGCUAACUAUAUAAAGGGAGGAUAUGUCUUUUAUUUUACAUCAGAGAUUAUACCAGAUGGACGAUAAACAAAAAAGAAUAAGAAGCAUUUGCUUAAUUUUCAAGCUACGUGCUUACUGAUCCAUCUCUUAUCCAAUAAAUAAAUAACAAAAUGCUGACUCUACUUAGCUUGUUUAGAGUGUCUUACGUGUGCUCACUUCCUUCUUGUGUAAACGCAAUCUUCUGAGAAUCAAGUUUGAUGGUCAGUCAUUUUCUUUAUUCGCCAUUUGUUGGUUUUAUGGAAUUGAUUCAAGUAAGAAAUCCUAUAUGUUAAGUAACAGUUAUUUUGUAUAUAAAUCCUUCCAAAGCUUUCACCUUUGAUAUCAUGGUGGUGCAACAAAACUCAUCAUGGGACUCACUCACUCUCACUCUCACUCUCAUUGUCAAAAAAUGAGUGAGUCAAUCACUACCCAGACGGACGUUUCUUUCAUGCUUGCUAAGCAUGUCUUUUCCAAUGAGAUUAAAGAUGAUACCAACCUCGUGUUCUCUCCUCUCUCAAUUCAAAUAGUACUAGGCCUGAUUGCUGCAGGCUCAAUGGGGCCAACUAAGGACCAGCUGCUCUGUUUCCUCAAGGCCAAAUCUAUCGAUGAACUCAACUCUCUUUAUUCUCAUCUUGUCAAUAUCAUCUUUGUUGAUGGCAGCCCCAAUGGAGGUCCGCGUUUGUCUAUUGCUAAUGGCGUUUGGAUCGACCAAACAUUCCCUCUUAAGCCGUCUUUUAAAAAGGUUGUUGAUAAAGUGUACAAGGCUACUUCAAAUUGUAUUGAUUUUCAGAACAAGGUAUUAGUCUUUUUGAUUUGUUUCAUCGAAAUCUUGCUUCUUUUUUGCUGGGAUUUAACUUACCCUAAAUACUACUCACAUCAUAAAAAGGAUACAGAUGUUACAGAUACUAAACUGCAGCUAACUCGGACUGAGGUGUACAGCUGAUUGAUCAACAAAUCUGACUUUAAAAUAGUGAAAAAUGAUAAACAAUUAGGACACAGGCCGUAUCAUUUAGCCUUUUGAUGAUUCACUAUUCAGGCCUAAAACGAAGCCUAAAAUAAUCUCUUUUUUUUUUUUUCCCGUGAAUUCCCCUUUGUUGGCUAAAGCAUAUGUUAAUUCUGUUGUAAAUUUGUUCGUCUUGCUUAUUGAUAAGGCUACUGAGGUCCCCAAUCAAGUCAAUCAGUGGGCUAAAAUGAAGACAAAUGAUCUCAUCAAAGAGAUUCUUCCUCAUGGCACAGUAAACAAUAUGACAAGGCUCAUCUUUGCGAACGCUCUAUAUUUUAAAGGAGCGUGGAAUGACAAGUUCAAUGCUUCGGAUAUGAAAGACCAUAAAUUCCACCUCCUCAGAGGAGGGUCUAUUAAAGCACCUUUCAUGACCAGCAAUAAGAAGCAAUAUGCAGUAGCCUUUGAUGGCUUUAAAGUGUUGGGACUUCAUUAUAAACAAGGCAGAGAUGCGCGAUGUUUCUGUAUGUAUAUCAUUUUGCCAGAUGCCCGUGAUGGAUUACCAGCUUUAAUAGACAAAAUCAGUUCAUCACCGGGAUUUUUAAACCACCACCUUCCGUGUGUAAAGGUUAAAAUGAGCAAGUUACUUAUCCCUAAGUUCAAAACAACUUUCAGUUUUGAAGCAUCUACGGUUCUUAAGGGACUUGGUGUCACGUCGCCUUUCUGUGGUGGUGGCCUUACUGAGAUGGUGGAUUCCCCUUUAGCUGGGAGGCUGUUUAUUUCACAGAUAUUUCACCAAUCUUUCAUUGAGGUAAACGAGGAAGGAACUGAAGCUGCAGCUGUUACAGCUAGUGUAAUUGAGCCUAGGUCAAUUGAGGAGGAAAUCGACUUUGUUGCUGACCAUCCAUUCCUGUUCCUUAUAAGAGAUGAUUCUACUGGUGUCGUGUUGUUCAUAGGGAGCGUGUUGAAUCCUCUAACUAGUUAAUUUAGUGCAUUUUGCAUGAACUGUAUAAAGGUUUGUAAAGAAGGAUAGUUCUAUAAUGGAAAAAUUUAAGAGAGGUGUUAUGUAUCUAAAUAUCCAGUGUAUCUGUUUAAUGAGAGGUAUUAUGUAUCUAAAUGACCAGUUUCAUGAUGUGUGUACUAUUUUGACGAGAUCUUAAUUAGUUGUGCUUUAUUUUCGACAUCUUAUAUAAUCUAUUCUAGAACAUCCAUAGAAGGCUCUUGAGAUUGGUAAUUAACUUUGGAUAAAUGAAGAAAAGUAGAUAAAGGGUCUUUACUAAGUUUGCAAUUUUUUCUUUUUGCGAGUGCUAGCAAUUUAGAAAUCGAAUAAAUUAUUGUGAAAUUUGUGUUCUUAAUCCAAAAUUUUUUAAACCAUCUUUUUGAGUUCGAAGUUUUCAAUAUUCUGAAGAUGACAUGUCAUUUCACAGGAAUCUUAGCAGCUUAGUUGGGAUGCUACUUUCAAGAGAUUAUACACAGCAUUAGAUAGUAAAGGUGGGAAUAAAAAGAUGUACAGGCUAGCCAAGGUUAGGGAGAAGAGGACUCGGGAUCUAGAUCAAGUGAACCAUAUUAAGGAUGUGGAUGACAAAGUUUUGGUGGAGGAGGUCGUACUAGAAAGAGAUGUCAGUCUUAAUUCCAUAAGUUCCUGAACGAAGGAAGGGAUACUAGCAUUGUGUUGGGGAUUUGGAGCAUUUCAAGAGGUUUCACGAUAACGGUUAUUGUAGGCUUAUUAAGGUUGAAAAGGUUAAGAAGUUAUUCGUAGGAUGCGCAGAGGUAGAGCGACAGGGCCAGAUGGGAUUCGGGUAAAUUUUUAAAAGUGCACAAAAGGGGCAGGUAUGGAGUGGUUGACUCGGUUGUUUAACAUAAUUUUCAAGACGACAAGAAUGCCUGAAGCUUGGAGGUGGAAUACGAUGAUUUUAUCGUAUAAGAAUAAGGGUGACAUUUAGGAUUGCAACAAUUAUAGGGGUAUCAAAUUGUUGAGACAUACUAUGAAGGUUUAGGAGAUAGUGGUGGAGUUGAGGUUGUGGAAGAUUGUUACUGUUUCUGAAAAUCAGUUUGGAUUUAUGUCAGGACGUUCAACUACUGAAGCCAUCCAUCUCGUUGGGAGACUAGUGAAGCAGUAUACGGAAAGGAAGAAGGAUUUGCACAUUGUGUUUAUAGAUUUAGAGAAGGCCUAUGAUAGAGUUCCUAGAGAGUUCUUUGGAGGUGUUUGGAGGCUAGAGAUAUACCUAUGGUGUAUGUUAGGGCGAUAAGGGAUUUGUACGACAAAACCAAGAUUCGGGUUAGGACUGGGGGAGGGGACUCAGAGCACUUUUCCUUCUUAAUGGGGUUAUACCAAGGGUCGACUCUUAGGCAGUUUCUUUUUGCCUUGUUGAUAGAUGUUUUGACGCGGCAAAUUCAAGAUGAGGUGCCUUACUAUUUUCUUUUCGCGGAUGAUGUGGUCUUGAUUGAUGAGACACGUAGUGGAGUUAAUACUAAGUUUGAAUUUUGGAGGCAAACCUUUGAGUCUAAAGGGUUUAGGUUGAGUAGGUCCAAGAAAGAAUAUUUAGAGUGUAAGUUUAACGAGGUGUCUCAUAAGUCUGAUGUGAUUUUUAAGCUUGAUACUCAUUCUAUCAAUAAGAGAGAUAGGUUCAAGUAUCUUGGGUCUAUGAUUCAGAAGAAUGGAGAGAUUGAUGAAGAUGUCACUCAUCAAAUUGGGGUAGGGCAGAUGAAAUGGAGGCUCGCCCCCGGAAUCAUGUGUGACAAAAAGGUACCUCCUAAACAUAAAAAGCAAGUUCUAUAGAGUGGUGGUUAGACCGGCUCUGUUAUAUGGAGUGGAGUGUUGGCCUGUUAAAUAGGCCCACAUACAAAAAUAAAGGUGGCGGAGAUGAGAAUGCUUCGGUGGAUGUGUGGAUGUACUAGAAAAAAUAGGAUUAGAAAUUAGGUUAUUCGAGAUAAGAUGAAAUGGCUUCAGUGGAAGCCAACAUGAGGGAAAUGAGGUUGAAAUGGUUUAUUCAUGUGAUGAGGAGGGACACAGAUGCUCCAGUAUGUAGGUGUGAAGCAUUGGCUAGGGAUAGUUUCAAGCGAGGUUGUAACACCCCGCAUUUCGGGCUAGAAUAAAAACCAUGACUCUGAUGCGUUGAUAAUCCCAGAGCCUUAAAUCCUAUGCCAAUUUGGCAUGCUUAUGUAGUAUGUGAAUCCAUUUGAGCAUGAAUUUAGACCAUAGAGGUCCUUCAACUCAAGGACGAGUUGAAACUAUUUCUAUUGAUUAAAUUUUAGUGGAUGUUGUAAUUUGUGUCAGCUCCCAUCGACCAUAACUCUCUAUACAUGUCGAAUUAGAGAGCCUACUAUGUGUCAAAUGAUAGGUAUUCGAGUUAACUUUUCAACAAUACCAUUUUUACUAAAAUCCGACACCCGAGCAAAAAGUUAUGGCCUUUCAAAGUAGUAUGUGUCGCCUAACCAAUCGCACAUGGCCACAGGAAAGCAUAUGCGAUAGCAUAUGCGGCGCCUAUGUAAAUAUAGGCGAUAUCAUAUGCGGCACCUAUGUAAAUAUAGGCGAUAUCAUAUGCGGCUCCUAUGUAAAUAUAUGCAAUAUCAUAUGCGGUGCAUAUCCUAUGGUUUCAAGUGACUUUAACACUCUGUUUUUGGGGCAAAAUGGUCCUUUUCCCACCCUUAUUCAGUCAUAAACACAAAAUUCAGUCCCCAAUUCUCCAAAAUACAUCCACAUUCAUUGAAAAAUUCUCAAGAACACUCCCAAGGAUUUCAAACUAAAAACCCAAAUAAAUCAAGACUCAACCGUGGGUUUUCAAAAUUGAUUAGAGAUUCGGAAUCUCCAAUCCACAGGCUUCAAGAAGCACCCAUUAUUUUCUAAAAUAGAGGUAUGUGGGGUUUUCCUAAAUUCUCAUAGGCAUAGAAAAAUCAUGUUUUAAAAUGGGGGUUUUUUAAUCUAUCUAUAUAUUUAUGUAUUAAAUGUUUUAACAUCAUUGUUUUGGUCUUUUGACCUUNNNNNNNNNNNNNNNNNNNNNNNNNNNNNNNNNNNNNNNNNNNNNNNNNNNNNNNNNNNNNNNNNNNNNNNNNNNNNNNNNNNNNNNNNNNNNNNNNNNNNNNNNNNNNNNNNNNNNNNNNNNNNNNNNNNNNNNNNNNNNNNNNNNNNNNNNNNNNNNNNNNNNNNNNNNNNNNNNNNNNNNNNNNNNNNNNNNNNNNNNNNNNNNNNNNNNNNNNNNNNNNNNNNNNNNNNNNNNNNNNNNNNNNNNNNNNNNNNNNNNNNNNNNNNNNNNNNNNNNNNNNNNNNNNNNNNNNNNNNNNNNNNNNNNNNNNNNNNNNNNNNNNNNNNNNNNNNNNNNNNNNNNNNNNNNNNNNNNNNNNNNNNNNNNNNNNNNNNNNNNNNNNNNNNNNNNNNNNNNNNNNNNNNNNNNNNNNNNNNNNNNNNNNNNNNNNNNNNNNNNNNNNNNNNNNNNNNNNNNNNNNNNNNNNNNNNNNNNNNNNNNNNNNNNNNNNNNNNNNNNNNNNNNNNNNNNNNNNNNNNNNNNNNNNNNNNNNNNNNNNNNNNNNNNNNNNNNNNNNNNNNNNNNNNNNNNNNNNNNNNNNNNNNNNNNNNNNNNNNNNNNNNNNNNNNNNNNNNNNNNNNNNNNNNNNNNNNNNNNNNNNNNNNNNNNNNNNNNNNNNNNNNNNNNNNNNNNNNNNNNNNNNNNNNNNNNNNNNNNNNNNNNNNNNNNNNNNNNNNNNNNNNNNNNNNNNNNNNNNNNNNNNNNNNNNNNNNNNNACAUUUGCUCUCACGUAUUAUAUAUAUAUAUAUAUAUGUUCAAUUACUCUAUUUUGGAUUGCUUCGCAUGCCAGUACAAUUGUGCUGACCCCCCCUUCUUUCCAGGUACUGAGGCACAGUCUAGGGGUCCAGAUCCUCGGUAGAGUCUACAGACAGGGUUGUCUCAGAGUUCAGUUGGUGAUCCUUCUUUGCUUCAGAAGGCCUAGUCAUUAAGGUAUUUAUUUUAGUAUAGUUUUUGGUCUGCUGGGGGCCUUGUCCCAGUUAUUCAGAUAGUAUGUCAGUAGAGAUUUCGCAGACAGUUACAGAUGUUUAUUAAAUAUUGUUGGGCAUGUUUUUAGGUCUUUAACUGUUUUAAAUUGUUUACCAUGUUUCCGUAUUAUUGUGUCUAUUCCGUAUUACUUUGACCAUAUGAAUUAUGUGCAUGAUUACCAGAUAGACAGAGGGCGUUUCGGGCCUUUGGGUUUAGAAAUGCUUGUCACGGCUAAGGCCCCGGUUCGGAUCGUGACAAACUUGGUAUCAAAGCACAGUUCAUGGUCCCAGGGUAUCUGCAAAAUUGUAUUGGGUAGAGUCUUGUUUAUGGGUGUGUAGAGCGCCACACAUAAGCAGGAGGCUACAAGGCGUUUAGGAAUGUCUCUCUUUCUUCAUAUUCUAGUUCGUGCUAUAGAGUCAGAAUGUUCCUCUUUCAUACUCUAAUUCGUGCUAUGGUGUCACCCAUACGAAAAGAAAAGUUAUCCUAAUUUUUUCCUCACUCUAGUGUUUCCAGAUAUUCUUCGAUUAUCUAGCAGAAAUUUCAGAAGUCCCAUAAAGGAUGAAAGAGGAGUUCCCUAGUGUAAAAUUGUGUCCUCGUUCUUAUGAGGCGUUCAGUUAAGACAAGAGUAAGAUGUGUAUUCUUUAGUCAUUGAAUAUUGUGUAUCAAUCUUCUAUCUUUUGUAAUCUUGAUAUCAUUGUGUUGUUGAAAACAAAAGCCUAGUGAAGUCGUGUGAGGCCUAUUUCGAUUCACUAGCAACUUGUUGUUCAUCUUAUUGUUCUUGUAUUUGUUGGAACUGUAUUUCCACCCGAGUAGUAGUAUAAGUUAGAGUGUCGGUGUCAUGACCUAUUGGUAGUGAAAUUAGACCAAGAAGUUUNNNNNNNNNNNNNNNNNNNNNNNNNNNNNNNNNNNNNNNNNNNNNNNNNNNNNNNNNNNNNNNNNNNNNNNNNNNNNNNNNNNNNNNNNNNNNNNNNNNNNNNNNNNNNNNNNNNNNNNNNNNNNNNNNNUUAAGGUGGUUAUAGAAACCCCUUAUAGGCUAUGAAUGAAAAUGGCUAGAUUAGCCAGUAGGUUGUAAGUAUAGACUCAUUGUCAUAUGGGGUAUCUGAAGGUAGUCUAAAUGCCCAUUGGGGUAAGUAAGUGUGAUGUGAGAAAGCCGUAUAAGUAGAUAAGAUUGUAUGGUUAUAAUAUAAGCUUAAGGUUGAUCAUGUCUAUUAUGUGACCUUACCCCUUAACCUUCUUCUCAUUGGUAGUUGUAAACUAAUACUACUUGUGAGAAAGCAUGUAGUAGAUUUUUGAAGUAUUUUGGUAGAAUAUACCAAUUUGAAGGAUUAGUAUAUUUAUAUUAUGUUGCACUCUUCAUUGGUUAUAAAUGAUUGAUGCUAGACUAUAGGCUUGAAUUUAAAUGGUGUGGUGGUGAAUAGUGGCAAGAGAUUGAUGAUACAUGUUUCAUGGGAUUAGAUUUGUAAGCUUGAUGUGUUGAAAUAGUACGUGCUAAAGGAAUGACAAGGAAAACCGUAAGGUCAUGAUCGAUUAUUGUGGUUAUGAAUUUCUAGUGUACUAGUGUUUCUUGAUGUUUAUUUCAUAGUUUCUAAGUGAGGAUUGUGUGUAAGGUUGGUUGUAAAUCAUGUUUAGCACUAGACAUUAAGUUUGAAACAAUUGAUGGCCAUGGAGGUGGAUGUGAUGAUUCCUUGGUUAAUGAUACUAGUUAUAUGGAAGUGAUCUAUAGGCUUGAACAGUGUAUGCAAGUGCCUAAGUUUAUUUGAUUCGUAAUGAAGUCUGACAUUGUAUAUGUGAUGUAGAAGUAUGCCCAAGGUGGUAUGAAGCUGUAGUAUUUUUCUAGGGCUAUUACAUGUUGUGUGUGAAUACUGGUACUGUUGAGCUGCUAGGUGGAAAAAUACUAGCUAGAUGGUAUAUGGCGUUCUAAAUAGCAAAGUUAAGGACCUUUGAUUGAUAGCGUUGAGCCUUUUGAUAUCAUGGUAGAGGAAAAUAAGUUUGAAGUUGCUAUGUUGGUAGACUAUGAUAGAAAUAGAGUGGCUCAUUGAAGACUUGGUGAUACCCAUGUUAGGUGUUAUAAUCUAAGCUCGAGUCCUUGAAAGUCGUACUAAUAGAAAUAUUGAGUAGAGGCACUAGAGGGUGUGCAUUUCAACUUUGGGGAUACUCAUGAAGAUUCAAAGUUAGUAAGUGUUCGAGUAAUAGAUGAUGACUAUUGGGGUUAUAGAAUGAUAGAGUGUGCCUCAGGAGGUAGUAUUAGCAGUGGACGUUCCACUCUCAUAUGUGAUCUUUUAAUUUUUAUUAAUUUUGUGUAUUGUCAUAUUUCAGAACCCAGAGUGCAGUGAGUGUAGUUAAGUUUAAAGUCUAGUAAGGUACCUCCCAAAACUUAAAAUGAUAGCUUAAAGCUAAGGGGAGAUAUGACUAAACGAAUAACCAAGUAAGACUCUUAGAUUCUUGUAGUGAUGUCAUGAUGAUGUAGAACAUCAAAAAGUAAGGGUGAAUCUCAACCCAUUCCUAUCUCAGUAUUUCUCAAUGAUCCUAAUACCUACUCAUGAUUUACGAUUUAGCUCCAUGAUCAGUUCACGUUCAUACAUAUGAUAGAGAGUCAUGUACUCACNNNNNNNNNNNNNNNNNNNNNNNNNNNNNNNNNNNNNNNNNNNNNNNNNNNNNNNNNNNNNNNNNNNNNNNNNNNNNNNNNNNNNNNNNNNNNNNNNNNNNNNNNNNNNNNNNNNNNNNNNNNNNNNNNNNNNNNNNNNNNNNNNNNNNNNNNNNNNNNNNNNNNNNNNNNNNNNNNNNNNNNNNNNNNNNNNNNNNNNNNNNNNNNNNNNNNNCUUAUGCGAUGAUAGUGGUGGUGAGUAAUUACUCCUUGUUGAUGAAGAUCAUAGUACGCUUGUUUAGAUAAGGCUAUAAGUAUGAAGUAAGAUUUGGGGCCAAGUUUUUAUUUAUGUGAUAGUUAAUAGAAUUUUGUAUGUGUAUGUUCUUGGGGUAGCUCAUGGGAGUGUUAUUGAUAGUGGUUUAGAGAAUAUAUGGAGUAUGCCUUUAUGAGUGUUUGCUUUGAAGUUCAUAUGUGGUUAUAAAGAUAGGCUUGAAUGACAUGUUGAGAUUGUUGUAAAGGAAUGCUAAUAUGCGCUAGCGACUUCAUAGUAAGAGUUCAGAGUAGUCAUUGAAGUGGUAAGGCAUGUUAUACUUAGGAUGUGCUCUUUAAAGGAGAUAUAGAAGAUUACAUCAUAUGGUUUAGAAUAAUAGUGUGGUCUGGCAUGUUGUAUUUUUGUGACUUAGAGUUAGGCUUGAUCACGGCGAAGGGAUUAAGUUAUUUCCGACAUUAGUAGAAAGAUUUGUCAAUGCUUAUAGGAGAAUUUUAAGUUGAGUUGAAUGAAUAUGAUAUUUAAGGAGAAUAGUAUAGUUAAGUGAUAUUCGAGAAGUGCGCUAAGCUUGAAAGUAAGAAUUUGUGAUGCCAAAGGCCUGGUAAUUCUAUCCUAAUUCAGGAGUUAUAUUCCUAUGUUCCAGACUACAGAGUAGUGUCAAUGUGGUGAUUCCUCAGUUGGAUGUCUUGUGUAAUCCAUACCCAAGAUUCAUGGCUCCCUAUUACUGCUAGAAUUUCUUUAGAGAAUUGUGAUGAAGAGAUACUCCAGUUAAGUAUGAGGGUGUAGUAUAAUUCAGUCUAUAUGGCCAAUAAGUCAGUUUAGCAGUUAGAUUCGCAUGACCUGUUUUCUCGUCUCUGUACUUAUUCAUGCUAUACGAAAUUUCAGACGUGCUACUAUUCCAAGAUAAAGUAUACCAGUAGUUAUGAGUAUAGCCCAUUUCAUGCAUCGUGCAUUAAAUUCAGAUUCCAGAUGUUCAGUUAUGAUUCAAUUCAUAGGUGCCCUAUGCAUCGCCUCAGUUUUUCGAGUAUCUUAGUGAAUUGAGCAUUCAUAGAGGGACAUAGGGUACCAAUGGGGAGAUACCCCAUUCAGUUACAUGCAUAGAUUCUUAUUACGAGCUUCACAUCAGUUAUUAUUGCGUAUUUAGCCAUAAGUUCAUACGUUAGUUCAGUCAGAUAUGCAUGCAUUAGAAAUGCAUGCUCAAUAUAAAAGUUCAGCUUAUCAGAGUAUUCAGUCCUACAUUCAUGAGAACAACUCGGUCACAGAUCCAUGCAUCAGAUAUGCAUGAUUCAUUAUCAGAAUUCACCCUAUGAGUAGCUUCAGUUGUGUAUUCCCUGCCUCGAAUAUGCAUGUCCGGCAUAAGUAUUUAAAACAUCAGUAGUUCCAAUCUUAUAGUCAUGUUUCCAAUCAGUGUAUUCUUUCCUCGGGAACAAAUCAUGUAUGCAUUAUCCCAUACCCUUAAGACUUCGACAUUCUAUUCAUCAUUCGUGGACGAAUGAUCCUAAGGGGGAGAUAAUGUAACACCCCGCAUUUCGGGCUAGAAUAUAAACCAUGACUCUGAUGCGUUGAUAAUCCCAAAGCCUUAAAUCCUAUGCCAAUUUGGCAUGUUUAUGUAGUAUGUGAAUCCAUUUGACCAUGAAUUUAGACCAUAUAGGUCCUUCAACUUAAGGACGAGUUGAAACUAUUUCGAUCGAUUAAGUUUUAGUGGAUGUUGUAAUUUGUGUCAGCUCCCAUCGACUAUAAAUCUAUGUAUAUGUCGAAUUAGAGAGCCUACUAUGUGUCAAAUGAUAGGUAUUCGAGUUAAUUUUCCAACGACACCAAUUUUGCUAAAAUCUGACACCCGAGCAAGAAGUUAUGGCCUUUCAAAGUAGUAUGCAUCGUCUAACCAAUCGCACAUGGCCACUAGAAAGCAUAUGCGAUAGCAUAUGCGGCUCCUAUGUAAAUAUAGGCGAUAUCAUAUGCGGNNNNNNNNNNNNNNNNNNNNNNNNNNNNNNNNNNNNNNNNNNNNNNNNNNNNNNNNNNNNNNNNNNNNNNNNNNNNNNNNNNNNNNNNNNNNNNNNNNNNNNNNNNNNNNNNNNNNNNNNNNNNNNNNNNNNNNNNNNNNNNNNNNNNNNNNNNNNNNNNNNNNNNNNNNNNNNNNNNNNNNNNNNNNNNNNNNNNNNNNNNNNNNNNNNNNNNNNNNNNNNNNNNNNNNNNAUGUAUGAAACCAUGUAUUUAAGAAUGAAUUCUUGUUGAGAGCAUGAAUUUUUCAGAUUUCUCAUAGCAUAUGAAUUGUUUUGCAAUGCAUCCUUGAAAAGCACUAUAUGAAAUGAUUGAACUCUCAUUAUGAUUUAAAGGUGGUUUUAAAUCACUAAAGAGGGAGUCUAGCAUAAAUGUUUAAUGUUCAUAAUGCAUGUAAUGAAAGAGUGCAUGGAUUUGCUAAAGGCACUAGACCACCAUAUGUUGAUGAAGUUUUUGCAUGAUUUUGACUUAAGUUGCAAAACACGAAAUCUUCUAUAUCAGUUGCAUGCUUUUGGUGGUCUAAAUUAUGCUUUAAAUAAAAGAUUUAGCUUAAUGUAUUAUGGAUCAGAAAUCAUGUCUUGCAAGUCUUGGUAUGACGGUACCAAUUAGGACCAAUGCCAUAUCAAACUCAGACUAAUAGACAUUUUAGACUAUCAUGAUUUUAGACAUUCAGAAUGUUGCAUGUACAGAAAAGGUUAAAAAUGGGCAUACAGAGAUGUUAGGUGGUUCCCUGAAGAGGGCUUGAGUUCAAGCAACUCAUUGCCUAAAAUCGUGGUUUGUCGACCUGGGUAUAUUAUUAUACGCUGACUUAAGUGUCGUGUGGCGUAUCAGAUUCAGGAACUCCAACCCUUACGGCAUACUCGGGUUGGAGGCUUCCCCACCGAGUCAAUGACGGGUUCCAUAUCUCCCGUGGAAUAUCAGACUUGUAGGGGAUACCACCUAACUCAGAAGUAAUACACAGAUCAGAGUUUGAGAUUUACAGACAGGUUACAUGUUUUCAGAAGGUGCCCAUGUGUUUUCAGAAACUAUUUUAUGCAUAAUGUUUGAUGAACAUUUGCUCUCACGUAUUAUAUAUAUAUAUAUAUAUGUUCAAUUACUCUAUUUUGGAUUGCUUCGCAUGCCAGUACAAUUGUGCUGACCCCCCCUUCUUUUCAGGUACUGAGGCAUAGUCUAGGGGUCCAGAUCCUUGGUAGAGUCUACAGACAGGGUUGUCUCAGAGUUCAGUUGGCGAGCCUUCUUUGCUUCGGAAGGCCUAGUCAUUUAGGUAUUUAUUUUAGUAUAGUUUUUGGUUUGCUGGGGGCCUUGUCCCAGUUAUUCAGAUAGUAUGUCAGUAGAGAUUUCGCAGACUGUUGUAGAUGUUUAUUAAAAAUUGUUAGGCAUUUUUUCAGGCCUUUAACUAUUUUAAAUUGUUGUCCAUGUUUCUGUAUAUGUGCAUGAUUACCAAAUAGACAGAGGGCGUUCCGGGCCUUCGGGUUCGAAAAUGCUCGUCACGGCCAGGGCCCUAGUUCGGGUCAUGACAAACUUGGUAUCAAAGGACGAUUCAUGGUCCCAGGGUGUCUGCAAAAUCGUGUCGGGUAGAGUCUUAUUUAUGGGUGUGUAGCGCGCCACACUUAUAAGCAGGAGGCUACAAGGAGUUUAGGAAUGUCUUUCUUUCUUCAUGUUCUAGUUCGUGCUAUAGAGUCAGAAUGUUUCUCCUUUAUACUCUAAUUCGUGCUAUGGUGUCACCCAUACAAAAAGAAAAGUUAUCCUAAUUUCUUCCUCACUCUGGUGUUUCUAGAUAUUCUCUGAUUAUCUAGCAGAACUCUGAUUAUCUAGCAGAAAUUUCAAAAGUCCCACAAACGAUGAAAGAGGAGUUCCCUAGUGUAAAAUUGUGCCCUCGUUCUUAUGAGGCGUUCAGUUAAGACAAGAGUAAGAUGUAUAUUCUUAAGUCAUUGAAUAUUGUGUAUCAAUCUUCUAUCUCUGUAAUCUUGAUAUCAUUGUGUUGUUGAAAACAAAAGUCUAGUGAAGUCGUGUGAGGCCUAUUUCUAUUCACUAGCAACUUGUUAUUCAUCUUGUUAUUCUUGUGAUUGUUGGAACUAUAUUUCCACCUGAGUAGUAGUAUAAGUUAGAGUGUCGAUGUCAUGACCUAUUCGUAGUGAAAUUAGACCAAGAAGUUUAUGAUAUGAAGUCAUAAGGUUAGAGGUCAGAGUAAGGGUGACUUUUGUGAUUAAAUAUUUAUAGUUGAAUAACUAUUGAUUGAGAAUGAUUUACCCUUUCGUGGUAGUAGACUAAUGUGAUGGUACAUUUAUGAAUUAUAUGGUAGUCCGUGGAGAAAGUGUUGACUCAGAAUGUUAUUUGUUUUCUUCCUUUCAAAAUAGAGAAAGAGCCUAGAGUGGAUACUUAAGGUGGUUAUAGAAAACCCUUAUAGGCUAUGAAUGAAAAUGGCUAGAUUAGCCAGUAGGUUGUAAGUAUAGACUCAUUGUCAUAUGGGGUAUCUGAAGGUAGUCUAAAUGCCUAUUGGGGUAAGUAAGUGUGAUGUGAUAAAGUCGUAUAAGUAGAUAAGAUUGUAUGGUUAUAAUAUAAGCUUAAGGUUGAUCAUGUCUAUUAUGUGACCUUACCCUUAACCUUCUUCUUAUUUGUAGUUGUAAACUAAUACUACUUGUGAGAAAGUAUGUAGUAUAUUUUUGAAGUAUUUGAGUAGAAUAUCCCAAUUUGAAGAUUAGUAUAUUUAUAUUAUGUUGCACUCUUCGUUGGUUGUAAAUGAUUGAUGCUAGACUAUAGGCUUGAAUUUAAAUGGAGUGGUGGUGAAUAGUUGCAAGAGAUUGAUGAUACAUGUUUCGUGGGAUUAGAUUUGUAANNNNNNNNNNNNNNNNNNNNNNNNNNNNNNNNNNNNNNNNNNNNNNNNNNNNNNNNNNNNNNNNNNNNNNNNNNNNNNNNNNNNNNNNNNNNNNNNNNNNNNNNNNNNNNNNNNNNNNNNNNNNNNNNNNNNNNNNNNNNNNNNNNNNNNNNNNNNNNNNNNNNNNNNNNNNNNNNNNNNNNNNNNNNNNNNNNNNNNNNNNNNNNNNNNNNNNNNNNNNNNNNNNNNNNNNNNNNNNNNNNNNNNNNNNUGAUGUAGAAGUAUGCCCAAGGUGGUAUGAAGCUGUAGUAUUUUUCUAAGGCUAUUACAUGUUGUGUGUGGAUACUGGUACCAUUGAGUUGCUAGGUGGAAAAAUACUAGCUAGAUGGUAUAUGGCGUUCUAAAUAGCAAAGUUAAGGACCUUUGAUUGAUAGCGUUGAGCAUUUUGAUAUGAGCUUGAUUCUCAUGGUAGAGGAACAUAAGUUUCAAGUUGCUAUGUUGGUAGACUAUGAUAGAAAUAGAGUGGCUCAUUAAAGACUUGGUGAUACCCAUAUUAGGUGUUAUAAUCUAAGCUCGAGUCCUUGAAAGUCGUGCUAAUAGAAAUAAGAGUAGAGGCACUAGAGGGUAUGCAUUUCAACUUUGGAGAUACUCAUGAAGAUUCGUAGUUAGUAAGUGUUCGAGUAAUAGAUUAUGACUAUUGGGGUUACAGAAUGAUAGAGUGUGCCUCAGGAGGUAGUAUUAGCAGUGGGCACUCCACUCUCAUAUGUGGUCUUUCGGGUUAAGUUUUAUUAAUUUUGUGUAUUGUCAUAUUUCAGAACCCAGAGUGCAGUGAGUGUAGUUAAGUUUAAAGUCUAGUAAGGUGACUCCCAAAACUUAAGAUGAUGGCUUGAAGCUAAGGGGGGGAGAUCACUAAACGAAUAACCAAUUAAGACUCUCAGAUUCUUGUAGUGAUGUCAUGAUGAUGUAGAACAUCAAAAAGUAAGGGUGAAUCUCAACCCAUUCCUAUCUCAGUAUUUCUCAAUGAUCCUAAUACCUACUCAUGCUUUAUGAUUUAGUUCCAUGAUCAGUUCACGUUCAUACAUAUGAUAGAGAGUCAUGUACUCACGCUUUAUAAUGUGAUCCAUUUCCAUAACUCAUGUUUUACGCCAAAUGAUUGGCGAGAUUCAGCUUAUAUCCAUGAAUACCCUAAAUUCAAAGCACUUUGAUGAGUCCCUGUUGUUGUUUUCAUACUCCUCAGACCUCAGAUGAGUGUCAAGCUUCAUAUAGUAUCAUUCCAUACCUCCAGAUCUUAUGUUCUAACCUUUUUGUGACUCCUCCUUAUGCGAUGAUAGUGGUGGUGAGUAGUUACUCCUUGUUGAUGGAAGAUCAUAGUAUGCUUGUUUGGAUAACGCUAUAAGUAUGAAGUAAGAUUUGGGGCUAAUUUUUUAUUUAUGUGAUGGUUAGUUGAAUUUUGUAUGUGUAUGUUCUUGGGGUAGCUCGUGGGAGUGAUAUUGAUAGUGGUUUAGAGAAUAUGUGAAGUAUUCCUUUAUGAGUGUUUGCUUUGAAGUUCAUAUGUGGUUAUAAAGAUAGGCUUGAAUGACAUGUUGAGAUUGUUAUAAAGGAAUGCUAAUAUGCGCUAGCGACUUCAUAGUAAGAGUUCAGAGUAGUCAUUGAAGUGGUAAGGCAUGUUAUACUUAGGAUGUGAUCUUUAAANNNNNNNNNNNNNNNNNNNNNNNNNNNNNNNNNNNNNNNNNNNNNNNNNNNNNNNNNNNNNNNNNNNNNNNNNNNNNNNNNNNNNNNNNNNNNNNNNNNNNNNNNNNNNNNNNNNNNNNNNNNNNNNNNNNNNNNNNNNNNNNNNNNNNNNNNNNNNNNNNNNNNNNNNNNNNNNNNNNNNNNNNNNNNNNNNNNNNNNNNNNNNNNNNNNNNNNNNNNNNNNNNNNNNNNNNNNNNNNNNNNNNNNNNNNNNNNNNNNNNNNNNNNNNNNNNNNNNNNNNNNNNNNNNNNNNNNNNNNNNNNNNNNNNNNNNNNNNNNNNNNNNNNNNNNNNNNNNNNNNNNNNNNNNNUGAAGAGAUACUCCAGUUAAGUAUGAGGGUGUAGUAUAAUUCAGUCUAUAUGGCCAAUAAGUCAGUUUAGCAGUUAGAUUUGUAUGACUUGUUUUCUCGUCUUUGCACUUAUUCAUGCUACUCGAAAUCUCAGACAUGCUACUAUUCCAAGAUAGAGUAUACCAGUAGUUACGAGUAUAGCCCAUUUCAUGCAUCAUGCAUUAAAUUCAGAUUCCAUAUGUUCAGUUAUGAUUUAAUUCGUAGGUUCCCUGUGCAUCGCCUCAGUUUUCCGAGUAUCUUAGUGAAUUGAGCAUUCAUAGAGGGACAUAAGGUACCAAGGGGGAGAUACCCCAUUCAGUUGCAUGCAUAGAUUCUUAUUACAAGCUUCACAUCGGUUAUUAUUGCGUAUUUAGCCAUAAGUUCAUACUUUAGUUCAGUCAGAUAUGCAUGCAUUAGAAAUGCAUGUUCAACAGAAAAGUUCAGCUUAUCAGUGUAUUCAGUCCUGCAUUCAUGAGAACAACUCGGUCACAGAUCCAUGCAUCAGAUAUACAUGAUUCAUUAUCAAAAUUCAGCCUAUGAGUAGCUUCAGUUGUGUAUUCUAUGCCUCGGUUAUGCAUGUCCGGCAUAAGCAUUUAAAACAUCAGUAGUUCCAAUCUUAUAGUCAUGUUUCCGAUCAGUGUAUUCUUUCUUAGGGAACAAAUCAUGUCAGCGUUAUCCCAUAGCCUUAAGACUUCGACAUUCUAUUCAUCAUUCAGGGACGAAUGACCCCAAGGGGGAGAUAAUGUAACACCCCGCAUUUCGGGAUAGAAUAAAACCAUGACUCUGAUGCAUUGAUAAUCCCAGAGCCUUAAAUCCUAUGCCAAUUUGGAAUGUUUAUGCAGUAUUUAAAUCCAUUUGAGCAUGAAUUUAGACCAUAGAGGUCCUUCAACUCAAGGACGAGUUGAAACUAUUUCGAUCGAUUAAGUUUUAGUGGAUGUUGUAAUUUGUGUCAGCUCCCAUAGACCAUAACUCUCUAUAUAUGUUGAAUUAGAGAGCCUACUAUGUUUCAAAUGAUAGGUCUUCGAGUUAACUUUUCAAAGAUACCAAUUUUGCUAAAAUUCGACACUCGAGCAAGAAGUUAUGGCCUUUCAAAGUAGUAUGCGUCGCCUAACCAAUCGGACAUGGCCACUGAAAAGCAUAUGCGGUGCCUAUGUAAAUAUAGGCGAUAUCAUAUGCGGCGCACAUCUUAUGGUUUCAAGUGACUUAAACACUCCAUUUUUGGGGCAAAGUGGUCCUUUUCCCACCCUUAUUCAGCCAUAAACACGAAAUUCAGUCUCCAAUUCUCCAAAAUACAUCCACAUUCAUCUAAAAAUUCUCAAGAACACUGCCAAGGGUUUCAAACUAAAAAUCCAAAUAAAUCAAGACUCAACCGUGGGUUUUCAAAAUUGAUUAGAGAUUUGAAAUCCCCAAUCCACAGUCUUCAAGAAGCACCCAUUUUUUCUGAAAUAGAGGUACGCGGUGUUUUUCUAAAUUCUCAUGGGCAUAGAAAAAUCAUGUUUUAGAAUGGGGUUUUAAUGAACUGGGAAAGCUGCUACUUAUCAAAUGAAAGAUCUUUGAGUUUUCUUUCCAAUGCAACUAGUUUCAUCCAAAUCCAACAUCUGAGUAAGGAGUUAUACCCGUUUUACUUCAGCCUGUCAAUUUGUCAACUGAGGGACAGUUUUGACUUUGUUUGUUUUCUUAGGGGCAUUUUAGUCAUUUCACCUCACACAAAUUUCGUCUAUAACACCAGAUUUAGCCCCAAAUUUAUCAAAAUAAAAUUCUUCUCUCAAAUUUUCUCUCAAGAACACCCCUUAGGGUUUCAAACAAAAAUCCCAAAUAACUCAAGAUUCAACCGUGGAUUUUGGAACAUAAUUAGAGAUUUGGAAUCCCCACAUCGUAGGCUUCAAGGAUCAUCCCUCAAUUUCUUAAAUAGAGGUAUGCAGGAUUUUCUUAAAAUCUCAUGGGCAUAGAAAAAUCAUGUUUUAGAAUGGGAUGUUUGAAUCUAUGUAUAUAUUCAUGUAUAAAAUGUUUUAACAUCAUUGUUUUGGUCUUUUGACCUUUCCCAAAGUGAUUUGAGAAUAUGAAUGUAUGAAACCAUGUAUUUAAGAAUGGAUUCUUGUUGAGAGCAUGAUUUUCGGUGAAUUCCCACUUACUAUGAAUUUUUGGUGGCCUAAAUUAUGCUUUAAAUGAAAAAUUUAGCUUAAUGUAUUAUGGCUCAGAAAUCAUGACUUGCAAGUCUUGGUAUGACGAUACCAAUUCAGACCAAUGCUAUAUCAGACUCAGACUAAUCGAUAUUUUAGACUAUCAUGAUUUUAGACAUUCAGAAUGUUGUAUGCACAGAAAAGGUUAAAAAUAGGCAUACAGAGAUGUUAGGUGGUUCCCUGAGGAGGGCUUGAGUUCAAGCAAUUCAUUGCCUAAAAUCAUGGUUUGCCGACCCGGGUAUAUUAUUAUACGCUGACUUAAGUGUCGUGUGGCGUAUCAGAUUCAGAAACUCCAACCUUUGCGGCAUACUCGGGUUGGAGGCUUCCCCGCCGAGUCAAUGGCCACAAAUCAGAGUUUGAGAUUUACGAACAGGUUAUAUAUUUUCAGAAGAUGACCAUGUGUUUUUAGAAACUAUUUUAUGUAUAAUGUUUGAUGAAAAUUUUCUCUCCCAUAUUAUAUAUAUAUAUGUUCAAUUACUCUAUUUUGGAUUGCUUCACCUGCCAGUACAAUUGUGCUGACCCCCCCUUCCUCCCAGGUACUGAGGCGCAGUCUAGGGGUCCAGAUCCUCAGUAGAGUCUACAGACAGGGUUUUCUCAGAGUUCAGUUAGUGAGCCUUCUUUGCUUCGGAAGGACUAGUCAUUUAGGUAUUUAUUUCAGUAUGGUUUUUUUUCUGAUGGGGGCCUUGUCCCAGUUAUUCAGAUAGUAUGUCAGUAGAGAUUUCGCAGACUGUUGUAGAUGUUUAUUAAAUAUUGUUGGGCAUGUUUUCAGGACUUUAACUAUUUUAAAUUGUUGACCACGUUUCCGUACUAUUGUGUCUAUUUUGUAUUACUUUGAUUAUAUGAAUUAUGUGCAUGAUUACCAGAUAGACAGAGGGCGUUCCGGGCCUUCGGGUUCGGGAAUGCUCAUCACGGCCAGGACCCCAGUUCGGGUCGUGACAGAGGUAGAGGUAGAUCAAAUAAAUACUGGAGGGAGGCGAUUAGACAUGACAUGGAGCAGCUUCAGCUUACCGAGGACAUGACCCUGGAUAGGAAGUUGUGAAGGAGGCAUACUAGGAUAGAAGGUUAGUAUUGUAGAGAAUAGCAGAAGAAAAGUAUAAUUGCAGAGACCUUCUGCUAGCCCAAGAUCGUUAACUAUGAUCGAAAGAUUCAUCUAAGAAGAGGAAGUUAUGAAAAGAAAAGGAAGAACUUUAAUAUGGAGAACACUACAUGAAUUGAUUUUAUGUUUUUGUUGGUUACAAAUAUCCAAGCCUCAUACCUAUUUAUACUAGUCUAUAGAUGAUUCUAGGAAUUCUUUUAGAUAUCUAGUGAUCUUUAUCUUCUACCACUACUCUAAUAUAUUUAGAUAAUUUUAUAAGAACAAUCUAGACAACUUUAUCUUCUAUCUAUCUAAGAAUAAUCUAGAUAUUUCUCUAAGAUACUUAUCGUAAUACUAUGUUAGAGUAUUCUAGAAACUUUAUUAGAAAAUCUAUGAUUCCAAAAAAUCAACUUUAAUAUUUUUACAAGUAUGAGUGUAGGAUGUUGUAUUUGUAAAGAAUAGCAGAAGAAAGAUGUAGUUGGUGAGACCUUCUUCUAGCCUAAGAUCGUUUAAAUAAGAUCAGAAGAUAAAGCUAUGAAAAGAGAAGGAAAAACUUUUAUAUGGAGAACACUACUUGAAUUGAUUUUAUUUUUAGUUGGUUUCAAAUGCCUAAUUUCAUCACCUAUUUAUACUUGUGUAGAGAUGAUUCUAGAUACUAUAAAUCUAGAGUGUUCUAUGCUUUUCCACUAAUAUCUCUUUAAAAUUUCUAGCACCCUCUAAUAUCUAGAGCUUUCCUAAAUACAAAUAUCAAAUAACUAUAUUAUCCUUUUCUAGAUUAUUUUGCCUAGAAUUACCUAGAAUAUCUAGAUAUUUCUUCAACAUGAUUAUUCUAGAAACUACACUAGAUAUUUUAGAAACUUUACUAGAAAAUUAUGAUUCCAAAAAAUCUACUUUAAUAUUUUCACACUCCCCCUUAAAGUGAUUUCUUGGAAGCUACCCUAAACUUGUCAUGGAAGAACUCAAACGAAGCUUUGAAUCGCGCCUUUGUGAAAAUCCUAGCAAUUUUUGCUUGACUCCUCUUGCUUCUUCAAAUGAUAAAGAUUUUCCGUCAAUAAUCGACGUUGUGAAGAAACAAGAAUAUGUAUUGACAAAUUUUUAUCUUUGUAGCAGACUAGCUUGAUAAUAGUCCUUAUUGGACUUUGUGAACCAUAUAAAUCACCUCCUUGCUAAGUUUCAUGUUGUUGAGUUUCUCAGCUCCCCUUUUUUUUUAGCUUAUCGACAAUUAUGUUAUUCAGAGAAACACCUAUGAUAGAAAUGUAAGGAACUUCAACGUUUAAUUUUUGUGUCACCUCUUCUUCCAACCCAACUCUAUGAUAUGAGGAAAUUUCAUCUGUAUCAGCUACUUUAUUUGAGUUGGUGAUGAUCUGACCAUUAAUUUCCUUCGAAACCACAUAACUAUCCUAGGGUUCUCCACUAGCUUCCUUUACCAACUCCUCAAUAAACUGUCUAGCUGCUUCAGAUGUUUCAAAAAAAUAUGGUAUGUCUCUCUAUCUGAGAUUGUGACUUCAAGGUCAGCUUCUCCAUUUAUUUGAUUUUUUGCUUCUUCAUCUACUUCUGAUUUUUUUACAACACUAGUGAUUGACCAAGAUAUAGUAGAUGAUUGAUCAAAGACUUCAACUUCCAUUAUAUUUCCCUUAAUGCUUUCUUUGAUAAAGUCAUUACUGGCAUAUAGAGUUUCAGACAUUAUUUGCUUAGAAUUUACUUCAAUAUCCUCCACGUUCGAACUUUUAUUGUCAUUUUCAAGAUUUACUUCUUUGAUUUUCUUGAUAGCAGUUACUACAACUCUAGUCGGAAUGUUUUUAGUAUCAUCUUGUUUCUUAUCGAUUCCUUCUUGCUCUAUAUGAUGCAUUGUAUUAUGUCAGAUCCAAUCUCUUUUCAAAUUUAUGGAAGCCAAUGCAUUUAUUGCUCGACUCUUGGCUGCUAAGCAUCUUCCCCAAUCUUCUUCUUCUUCAACAACUUUUCCAUUCUGAGCCAUUUUGCUCUCCGUGACUUGACAACAUCUUUUUAUGUGUCCUACUUUUCCACACCAAUAACAUCUGAGAGACUUCUUAGUAUAAUUGUUAAAAGUCUUUUCCUUCUUUCCCGGCGAGCUUGAACAACUCAAGAAUCAAGUGUGAGGAAUAUCUCUUGCUCUUCUUUUAAUGUUCCUCUUGUCAGCUACAAGAGCAUUUUCUUCCCUUUGUUUGACAAAUUCACCAGCCAAUUAUUUGGCUAGUAACUCCUAUGAUGACAGCAAAUUCUCAAAUUCCUCUGGGGAUGGUUUUUUAGCCCAUCCAUGAAUUGAUGUCACAAAGAAAAUAUAUUCUGAUUGCAAACCACGAAUGAUAAUUUUUCUCAUCCGUGAUUCAGAGAUAGCCUCGUCCGUAUCCAAUAAAGAAAUUUCAGAACAUGAGUUCUUAAUCUUUAAAAAGUACUCGGCAAUAGAAAGAUUACCUUGGGUGGUGUUUGCCAAUUUAUUCUCCAAUAUUUAUAGUGGAGCUUCAUUUUUCUUGUUGUACAACUGAUCGAGCGUCCUCCAUAUUUCAUGAGCUGAUUUACAUCUUAUGAUGUGGUCAAAUAAACUAGAGGAGAUAGACCUCUUCAGAAUGAACUCUACCUUCGCCUUAAUCUGCUUCAACUUCUUGUAUGCACUACUAUUCUCCGGUCCGUCUUCCGAAGGACUUGUGUUACUUCCUUUAACAACAUCCCACAAAUCCUCGCCAACAAGAUAUGAUUCCAUGCAAGUCUUACAUACCUUGUAAUUAGAAUGACUCAACAACUCCAUUCUCAAUCCAUUAACGUUACCGUUUAAAUCUAUUCGCACAAACCAGUUGAAUCAACACAAAUACGAUCUUGAAAUAAACAUAAGUCAAUCUAUGAAUUUGGCUAUAAUACCAUGUAAGGAAUAGCAGAAUAAAGAUGUAGUUGGAGAGACCUUCUGCUAGCCCAAGAUUGUUUAAUUAAGAUCAGAUUCAACUAAGAAGAGGAAGCUAUGAAAAGAGAAGGAAAAACUUUUAUAUGGAGAACACUACUUGAAUUGAUUUUAUUUUUAGUUGGUUACAAAUGCAUAAUGUCAUCCUCUAUUCAUACUUGUGUAGAGAUGAUUCUAGAUACUACAAAUCUAGAGUGUUCUAUGCUUUUCCACUAAUAGCUCUCUGAAAUUUCUAGCACCCUCUAAUAUCUAGAGCUUUCCUAAAUACAAAUAUCAAAUAACUAUAUUAUCCUUUUCUAGAUUAUUCUACCUAGAAUUACCUAGCAAAUCUAGAUAUUUCUUCAACAUGAUUAUUCUAGAAACUACACUAGAUAUUUUAGAAACUUUACUAGAAAACUAUGAUUUCAAAAAUCUACUUUAAUAUUUUCACAGUAUCUUUUGUUGUAUUACAUGGUGUUCUUGUUUAUGGUACUAUUGGAUGUGUUGAUUUCUAUUGUAUCUUGUUAUUUUACUAUUCCUUGUCUAGAUUUCUUAUUUUGACCCAAAGGUCUAUCGGAAACAGUCUGUCUAUCUCACAUUUGAGGCAGUGGUAUGGAGUGCGUACGCUUACCCUCCACAGACCUCACUUGGUGGGAAUAUACUGGUAUAUUGUUUUUUGUUUGUUGCUUAGUAGCUUAGUUGGUCGGCUACCUGAACUUCAACCUUAUUGAUGAGAUUGUUUGAUUCUCCAUGUUGUAAUCCUCUCCUUAUUCCUUCCCAACAUGUCAUUCCUCUCCUUAGAUAUGAGCCAUUUUUAAUAGUCAGAUGAUUUCCCAUUAGAAAAUAGAAUUAGAAAUAGGAAGCGAACGUGUGACGCUAACUAUACAAAGGGAGGACAUGUCAUUUAUUUUCCAUCAGAGAUUAUGUGUGUGAAUAAUAGUGGUAGAUUCAAGAAUGGAACAUUAAAAAUUUUAAAUGACUAAUAAAUUUUAGAGCUUUAACAACUUACAUUAUACCAGAUGGACGAUAAAUAACAAAUAAUAAGUAUUUGCAUAAUUUUCAAGCUACGUGCUUAGUGAUCACAUCUCUUAUCCAAUAAAUAAAUAAAUAACAAUAUCUUGACUCUACUUAGCUUGUUUAGACUGAGUCUUACAUUGGUUCACUUCCUUCUUGUGUGAACGCAAUUUCUCGUUUAACAGUUAUUUUGUAUAUAAAUCCUUCCGAGGUUUUCAACUUUGAUAUCAUGUGUGGUGCAACAGAAUCCGUCAUGGGACUCACUCACUCUCGCCCUCGCUCUCACUCUCAUUCUCAUUCUUACUCGUCUAGUUCUUUCCGUGAUCAAAAUCUGGAUAUGGAAAUGAGUGAAUCAAUCACCACUCAGACGGACGUUUCUUUCAUGCUUGCUAAGCAUGUCUUUUCAAAUGAGAUCAAAGAUGAUACCAAUCUCGUGUUCUCUCCUCUCUCAAUGCAAACAGUACUAGGCCUGAUUGCUGCCGGCGCAAAAGGACCAACUAGGGACCAGCUUCUCUGUUUCCUUAAGUCCAAAUCUAUCGAUGAACUCAACUCUCUUUAUUCUCAUCUUGUCAAUAUCAUCUUUGUUGAUGGCAGCCCCAAUGGAGGUCCGCGUUUGUCUGUUGCUAAUGGUGUUUGGAUCGACCAAACACUGCCUUUUAAGCCUUCUUUUGAAAAGGUUGUGGAUAAAGUGUACAAGGCUACUUCAAAUUGUGUUGAUUUUCAGAACAAGGUAGCGCCUUUUUUAAUUUAUUUCAUCGAAACAUUGCUUCGUUUUUGCUAGGAUUUAACUUAACCUAAACACUACUCACAUCAUAAAAAACAUACAGAUGAUACAUAUGCUAAACUGCAUCUAACUCGGAUUGAGGUGUAUAGCCUGAUUGAUCGACAAAUCGGAGUGAAAAAUGAUAAACAAUAAGGACAGAGGCUGUAUUAUUUAGCCUUUUGAUGAUUCAUUAGUCAGGAAUAAAAAGAAGCCUAAAAUAUUCUCUUAUUUUUUUUUUUGCCGUGAAUUCCUCUUUGUUGGCUAAAGCAUAUGCUAAUUUUGUCGUAAAAUUUGUUUGUCUUGCAAAUUGAUUAAGGCUUCUGAGGUCGCCAAUCAAGUCAAUCAGUGGGCUGAAAUGAAGACAAAUGAUCUCAUCAGAGAGAUUCUUCCUCAUGGCACAGUAAACAGUAUGACAAGGCUCAUAUUUGCGAAUGCGCUAUAUUUUAAAGGAGCGUGGAAUGACAAGUUCAAUGCUUCGGAUACGAAAGACCAUAAAUUCCAUCUCCUUAGAGGAGGGUCUAUUAAAGCACCUUUCAUGACUAGCAAUGAGAAGCAGUAUGCAAUAGCCUUUGACGGCUUUAAAGUAUUGGGACUUUAUUAUAAACAAGGCAGAGAUACGCGCCGCUUCUGCAUGUAUCUACUUUUGCCAGAUGCCCAUGAUGGAUUACCAGCUUUGAUCGACAAAAUCAGUUCGUCACCAGGAUUUUUAAACCAGCAUGUUCCAUUCAGAAAGGUUGAAAUGGGCAAGUUACUCAUCCCUAAAUUCAAAACAACUUUUGGCUUUGAAGCUUCUAAGGUUCUUAAGGGAAUUGGCGUCUCUUCGCCUUUCUCUAGUGGUGGCCUCACUGAGAUGGUGGAUUCCCCUUUAGCUGGAAGGUUGUUUGUUUCACAGAUAUUUCACAAGUCCUUCAUUGAGGUAAACGAGGAAGGAACCGAAGCUGCAGCUGUUACAGCUAGUGUAAUACAGCCUAUGUCAAUUGAAGAGGAAAUCGACUUUGUUGCUGACCAUCCAUUCCUUUUCCUUAUAAGAGAUGAUUCUACUGGUGUCGUGUUGUUCAUAGGGAGCGUGUUGAAUCCUCUAACUAGUUAAUUUAGCGCAUAUUGCAUGAACAAUAUAAAGGUUUGUAAAGAAGGAUAGUUCUAUAAUGGACAAAGAGAGGUGCUAUGUAUCUAAAUAUCCAGUUUUCUGACUUGUGUCUGUUUGAUGAGGGAGAUGAUGUAUCUAAAUAGUCAGUUUCAUGAUCUGUGUACAAUUUUGAUGAGAGCUUAGUUGUGCUUUAUCUUUGACGUCUCAUGUAAUGACUUGUCUAUGCCUUCAACGUGUUUGUGCAUUUUUACGUGAUAUAUUGUUUUAAGAGAAAUUUAAGAAGGCUCUUGAGAUUGGUAACUAAAAUUAACUUUAGCUAAGUGAAGAAAAGUAGAUAGAAUAAAGGGUCGUUAGUAAGUUUGCAGCUUUUUUUGCAGCCACUAGCAAAUUUAGAAAUUGAAUACACUAUUGUGAAAUUUGUGUUCUUAAUCCAAAUUUUUUGGAACAUAUUUUGAGUUUGAAGUUUCCAAGAUUCCGAAGAUGACAUGUCAUUUCUCGAGGAAUCUUACUAGUUUAGUUGAUUGGCUUCGUGAACUUCCACAUUGUUAAUAAAAGAAUUUGAUUCUCCGUGUUAUAGUCCCCUUCCCCUACCCGAAAUAAAAAAUAAAAAACAUGUCAUUGCUCUUUCUUGUACUGAUUCUUCUUUAUAUAAAUAAUAUUAUAGUAUACAAUAUUAACACCCACCUGGGCCUGGCUGAUUUGAUCAAGACAACAGUGUAAAAAAUGAAAAAUGUAACACGAAAGUCUAAAAUAGAAAAAAAUGCAAAAUGUCAAGUCCCGGUGGGACAUGCUCUUGUCUCCUUCUCCGCCUUAUUUUUGUGUUGUUGACUUGUUUCCAUCUACCAACUUCUCUUCAUCUCAAUCAAUUGUAUAAUUACUCCUGUUCCAAUUCAUGUUAAUCUGUUUCAAGAGAAUGUCACACUUAUAUAAUUAAAAAUAAUUUCAUUAAUUUAAACAAAAAAAAAAAAAACCGUUCACCCCAAAUGGCAAAAAGAUAUUUUAGAUCAUAAAUUUCAAAAGUUUUUACUUCUAUCUUAAAUUUGAACUAAAUAAAACAGUGUCACAUAAAUUAAUAUGGAGUAAUAAAUGUCACACCCCUUUUCGACUCCAAAAGAUUCUGGAUUAAGUUUCGAAAGGGUUUUUGUUAUUAAGUGACAAAAUGAAGAAUUUUUGUUUUGAAAAAGGAUUAUUUACAUUUUUUAUUCAGAGUCGCCACUUGACAUAAAUUAGGUGUGCCAAGUCACCUUUAGAAAUCCAUUUUCAAAACAGUUUGACUCUAAAACUAAUCCGCGAAUAGAGAUUCCAGCUAAGAAAUUUUGUUGACCGAGGGGAAGGUGUUAGACACCCCUCGAUCCCGUGGUUCGACCACGGUUGCUUGGUGAAGCAUGUCGGCUAAUUUGAACACUAUGAAUGUAUAAACCAAACAACACACAAAUCAAACAAACAAACAAAUCAAAUGAAAUUCAAAAACCAAAAUAAUGUCAGUCCGAUUUAAUACAGUCCAAAAAUAAAAAAGAUGCAAAAAUGUAAAUCCUAUUCUAAACUAAUCCUAGACUAUGCUUUACCCGACGCCUCGGGUCUUCAACACGAUCAUCCUCCGCAAACAUGAUACGUCGGGGCAUUCUCCGGUGAAUAAACACAAAUACCUUGGGGCAUUCCUCGGCCAAAUGGUACAUUUGAUGCAAAAGCAAUAAAACCAAGUCAUUCAACACAUGUCAAGCAUUCAAGAUUUCACAAUUCUUACAUUUGCCUACCCAACUCGGCUUAUGAUUCUAUCACGUUCAACAAUAUUCAUGCUGAUUCCGAAUUAAACAAAACAACAAUAAAUCAAAAUUAAUCUAAAUUCACCUUUUUUAUCAAUUUCUCAAUUCCACCCCCAAAUUCCUUUUCAAUACAAACCCACAUUCAUAUUAUCAUCACCUACAAUUGAUAUCAAUUAUUAAAAAGCAAACAACAUCAAAUCAUCACCCAAAUAUCCAAACAAAUAGGACAAAGGCAUCGAAUCACAUCGAAAUUAAAAUAAAGAGAAAAAUGAGAAAAAUUGACCUCAAAUGAAGCUUUCGAACUCAAUAUUAUUUGAAUAAAGAGAAUCCACACCCGAAAACCUCAAAUGAACCUCGAUGACGAAUCCAGUCCAACUUCGAUAUAUUUGACCCCGACAAAAUCACAAAAAAAAUAGAAAAGGCACGAACCCAUUUUCCUAUGCAUGAUUUCGUCUCAUCGUUCUCCGACGGGUUUUAACAGAAAAGGGGAAGGAAUAGGCUGUUUGGAUCGAAAAAUAACGACGGGGGAAGUCAGUUUGUUGUUGUGACUUCGCCGGAGCUCCAGUGAGCUCUGGAAGUGACGAAAACCGGAGAGUGGGUCACGUUUUCUGUUGCUUCAACGUUUUCCAGCGAGAAAUUCGCCGGAAACAGUUAAACCCAACGCCCUUUUCUCUCUGUUCUUUCUGAUAUUUUCGAUCUGCCUCCCUCUCUUUAUUCUCAGUUACGAUCUCUCUCUUUCUUCGAUUGAUUUCAGCUCAUCAUCGCCCUUCUCCCUCUCUCUUUGAUCUCACAAUUUCUCCCUUGCUCUAAUCUCUUGUUCUCUAUCUCCUUCGUCUCUCGUUUUCUCCACCCCGUGCGUAUGAGUGUGUUACUGUGUUUAUGGUAAGGAUUAGUGAUGGGAAUGAGUGGUGUGUGAAAAAAAUGGAAGGGAAUCUUGUGUGCUUCCCCUUCGUAUAUGGCAAUGGUGAUAGGUAUAUGUGAUAGUGAAUUAUGGAGAAGAUGGAUGUUGAUGAUGUGGACCCUCCAGAGGUAAAGAAAAUCUCGUGAGGAGUAUGUUCUUCUCCUCAAUUGUGUUAACUGUCAAGAGGAAAAAGAAAAACUUGAAAUCUUUUUUCCCAGUGGGGCCCUUGUGAGUGGAAAAAAUGUAUAUUGUAUACUUUUUUUAGUGAUGUCCACCUUUACAGUGAAUGUAGUGCAUUCCAUUUUUGGAUGGUAGGUGAUGAAAUAAUUUCAUGGUCCCCACCUCUAUUUGUUGUCUUGUGAAUUGGUUUCAAAGUGAAUAAAAUGUGAGGGGUAAGGGUUACGUUGGUGGGGUGAUGAGGUAGGGUAGGUGGGGUAGGUUGGUUAGGAUAAGGUUUUUAAUUUGUUAGGGAGUUUGUUUUUUUUGUAUUUUUGUAGGGUAUGAUCACAUGGAUGGAGAUACGUGGUAAGACAAGGUAAAAAUGGGGAGAUUGAGUUUCGGAAGCGACAAAAUUACGUGUCUACAUCAUGCCGCUCUUUGCAUGUAAACACAAAGUGUUUUCAUACAAAGAAGUAGACAAAGAGACAAAAUUUUGACCCGACCAUUAUUCAAAGAAAAAAAAUAAAAGGAAGAAGAGCAACUGGGUCUUGACUUAGGACAACCUACCUACCCAAGUUAUGGAGGAAUCGAGUACCGGUAUUUCCAAAGGACUGGAAAGAGAAGGACUAUACCGAGUUGGAGAGUCAAUUUAGGUUCCAUCGAGGUUCCGGUCAGCGGCUCUGUUAUUACAUCAAAAUAAAAAUUACAAGUUAAAACAUAAAUGAAAUUACAAAAUCCUAUCUAUGCAGUUUCUUUUGGACUCUUGACUUGAGUUUCAUCACCCUAUUCUUCAGGCGAACUCCUGACUUUCUAUUUCUUUAACUUGUUGCUUGCCUUUCGAUUUCUUCACCCUGUUCUCCAGGCGGGUUCCUGACUUGCUAUUUCAUCAACUUGUUGCCAUGCUUUCAAGUUCUUCACCCUGUUCUGCAGGCGGGCUCCUGACUUGCUAUUUUUCAAUCUGUUUAACUUUCAAUUUCUUCACCUUGUUGCUUGGUUUUCCAUUUAUUCGCCCUAUGCUUUGGGCAGGCUCCUGAAAUCACAUCAAAACUAAAAAAGAAAAUAUCUCAAACAAAUAUUAUUAUAAAGAGGUUUUAUUUUCCAGAAAAGUAAAGUUUCAAAAACAAAAAUUGAAUUUUUGCCCCAGUUUAUCAUCAAAAGACUUUUGGAAAAGUCACAUCAUACCUACUUGCAUGUUGCAAUGAUGAAUCAAGACUCUGACUAAGAAAUGCAUCUCUUAAGAGUAAAAUUAAAUAACCAAGACUAGGAAGUGCAUCUCCUAAGAAUUAAAGUGAGGGAUUCUAACUAGAAAUUCGGUCUUCUAGAGAUACAAGUUUAAGCUAAAAAGUAUGCCACCUGACAAAUGAAAACUAGCAAGGAAGAGCAUAUUCUUAGGGUUAAGUGCGAUAACUCGACUAGAAAGUGCAUCUUCUAGGAAUCAAGACUUAAGUUAGGAAGUGCAUCACCUAAAAAGCAAAAUUCGAAUUACCUAAUCAAGAAAGUGCAUCUCCUUACCAAUGUUGCUUGAAUUAUCAAAACAAAGAAGUGCAUUUCCUUACCAAUACAGCUUGAAUUACCAAAAUAAGGAAGUGCGUAUCCUUACCAAUGCCGCUUGAAUUACUCAAAUAAGGAAGUGCAUCUCCUCAGAAAUGUCUCUUGAAUUACUCAAACAAGGAAGUGCGUCUCCUUACAAAUGUUUCUUGAAUUGCCCAAACCAGGAAGUGCGUCUCCUUACAAAUGUUGCUUGAAUUACCCCAAACAAGGAAGUGCAUCUCCUUAUCAAAUGCCUCUUGAAUUACCUAAAGAAGAAAGUGCAUCUCCUUACAAAUACCGCUUGAAUUGUCCAAACAAAGAAGUAUGUCUCCUAACAAGUGUUGCUUGAAUUACCCGAACAAGGAAGUGCGUCUCCUUACAAAUGUUGCUUGAAUUACCCCAAACAAGGAAGUGCAUCUCCUUACAAAUGUCAAUCGAAUUACCAAACAAGGAAGUGCGUCUCCUUACAAAUGUUGCUUGAAUUAUCAAACAAGGAAGUGCCUUUCCUUACAAAUGUUGCUUGAAUUUCCACACAAGGAAGUGCGUCUCCUUACAAAUGUUGCUGAAAUUACCCGAACAAGGAAGUGCGUCUCCUUACAAAUGUCGAUCGAAUUACCAAACAAGGAAGUGUGUCUCCUUUGAAAGUGCAUUUCCUUAUGAUAGUGCUUGAAUUACCAAAAUAAGGAGGUGUGUCUCCUUACAAAUAUUGCUUGAAUUGUCAAAACAAGAAAGUGCGUCCCCUUACAAAUGUUGCUAGAAUUACCCAAACAAGGAAGUGCGUCUCCUUACAAAUGUUGCUAGAAUUACCCGAACAAGGAAGUGCGUCUCCUUACAAGUGCCAAUCGAAUUACCAAACAAAGAAGUGCGUCUCCUAACAAAUGUUGCUUGAAUUAUCAAACAAGAAAGUGUGUUUCCUCAUAAAUGUUGCUGGAUUUACCAAAUAAAGAAGUGCGUUUCCUUACAAAUAUUGCUGGAAUUACCCAAACAAGGAAGUGUGUCUCUUUACAAAUGUUGCUAGAAUUACCAAAAUAAGGAAGUGCGUCUCCUUACAAAUGCCGCUUGAAUUACCAUGGGUUUGAAUACCAAAUAUGUGCAGCAACAUUGCCUCUUGCAUUUGUAGAAGUGAGAAUAUUACGGCCCUUGAUGUUUAGGCAUUGAAAUCCUUGAUUCGAAGGUAGAAUGUGUUCCUAUUUCAUACAAAGAAAACUUGUUAGUUUAAAAACAUGGUGGUUGGUUUGUGGCUUUGGCUUUUGUGGAAAUCGCUCUUGCCCCUGUCACAUUAAUCUUGCUUUCGACCAUUAGCAUAUGCCAUUGACUUGCUGCAUCAUUGAUCCAAACUCAAAUUAUUAAGAGUUCUUCUGAAACAAACACAGUAUCUUUGCUUUACCAUGCUUCUCAGAUAAACUCUUUGACCCUUCGUAUUUUCGUGAAUUCCCAAAAUUUUCUGUUGAAACAACUUUCUGCAUGCCUUAUUUCGGCUCACAAUCAUGUCUCUUUCAUGUGUUGGUCUUUUGUCUUGCUUUCUGCAAUUGAAGAAGCUUGUAGCCAGUUUUAAAAUCUUUUCUCUCUUGUUUCGACAUAGACUUGACUCAACAACAAGAGAAAAUGACAAUGACUUUUAUUUGGAUAACUGACUCAAGAAAGAUAAACAAAAUAAAGAGAAAAAAGAAAAGCUAAUGAAUGUCCCUAUUGAAACUAAGAAAUAAAAAUUUAUCUAAAAAUGACAGUCAACUCCAAAGAUUAUGCCAUGCAUUUUGGGUCAGGCUGCCUGAUCUUUCCAUCCAAACUUUCUACCAAUUGUUGUUGAGUUAAUGGCCUUGAAAAUGAGUUGUUUCCUUAGGUCAAUUACAUUUAAGACCUCGUUUGGCUAGUGGCGCCUUGGAGGGUUUUUUUUUCAACAAGCCUCUCUCAUUUUUUUCUAGCUCACCAUUGUCUUAUGGUGUCCGUGAGGGUUUUUCACCAAUGAGACUCUCUUAUUUUCAUUUGUCUCAACUCACCGUCGACUUACAGUGCCCAUGAGGAUUUUUGCCGAUAAGACUCUCUCAUUGUUAUCUCUCUCAGCUUACCAUUAUCUUACGGUGCCCGUGAGGGUUUUCACCUAUAAGACUCUCUCAUUUUCAUUUCUCUCCUGAUUCCUUAUGCCAAGAAAGACAAGUAGUUCCCAAAAUGCAUCAUCACAUUCAUUGCAUGCUUAGCCUUAACAUUCUCAAAGAUUGAUCUGAAGGUCUUUCUUUGGUUGUAACUUGGCUUUUGGAUAAGGUUAGAAAGGAUGAUUUGAGGCCCAAACGACACUUGAAGUGGGGUGGGACUUACAACUUUCGAAAUUGACUCAAACAAUGAGGAUCAACUCAUGCCCCAGUUUCUUUUGACUGGAAAAUACUAAAUUGUUUAUUUGGUUGGACCGAGCCCAGAGUAGGGAAGCCUACGUAUCUCACUCCUAAGAGAUGAGAAUCAAGUCACGCGUAGUUCUGGCAGCUUGUUGUUUCGCUUUGAUCUGAUUUUCCUUUUUUUUUUCUUUUAUUCGCUCUUUUCACUUUGCGAUUCUUUUUUCUUGACACUCUUUUUUUUUUUAGAAACAUUUUGUCUCUUUUUUGUAACUUUUUGACUUUAUCUUUUUACUUGACACUAUUCUUUGAACUUUGCUUACUCUAUCUUGAUUCCAAAAGAGGGUUAUGAAAGAAAAUAACACUAAGGCUCAAAUGGGGUAAACAAAGGAUGACACAAUGUUUGGAUAACAGAAUGAAAUGCAUUCAUCAUAUCAAUCCUUGAGAAUGCAAGUACAUAAUAUGCAAUUGGAAGUGAGAGAUGAAGAUCAUUUGCGACAUCUUUUUAAGCAGAUUGAGUUUGUCGUCACUACUUCUUCUGUAAACUCCACUUUUGUUGUACAUUCCUCACAUCAAAUGACUCAUGCUUUCGUGGAGCUUCUUAUCUUCUUGUUUCUCUUGAUAUAGGGAUCACACGUCCACUAUUUGACCUAAUUGGGACUUACCUUUCGUUCACGCCAUCUAAUCACGUACUCUUUGAAAGUUUCAGUACUCUUUUUCUUCAUAUUAGUUAAGGAUUUCUCGUCAGGAAUCAACUCCAUAUUGUAUUGAAAUUGUUGCACGAAUUCAUUAGUCAGGUCAUCCCAGCUAUUCUACUUGUCGGUGUCUUGGUCAACAAACCAUUCUGAAGCUAGACCUGAAAGACUCUCACCAAAAUAUGCCAUGAGUAAUUCUUCCCUCCCUCCAGCGCCCUUUAGAUGGUUGCAAUAGUUUCUCAAAUGUGCUACAGGAUCGCCAUGUCCAUCAUACUUCUCAAACUUCGGCAUUUUAAAACCAAGAGGAAGAUGUACACCUGGAAACAUGCACAGAUCUUUAUAUGAGACACUUUUGUUCCCCCCAAGUCCUUACAAGUUUUUCAUAGUCAGUUCCAAACUUCUCAAUUUUCUGGCUAUUUCCUCUUGUUCUUCUAUCAUAACAGGUUUCUCAGUGUUAGGAGAAAAUUCAGGCGAUUGAGGGCAAUCGUAAGGACCAGUCCACUUAAAUGUGGGCUUGAGAGCGUAAUGAUGAUCACUAAAAAUAUUCAAUACAGGGUCGCUUGAAGGGUGAGGAAUCACAACCAUUGGAUUGACAUUAAAAGCAGGAGCUUCAGACGGGAGUGGGGCUGCAAAAGCAUGAAUAACAGGCGAAGCCGAGCAUGUGGUAAUUUUGGAUUGAGGAGUGAGGAAAUGAAUAUUGGAAGUGUUUGGAUACUGUUGCCCCCGAGUAGGUCCUGAUGCAUGUUGUGGCGUGUCGAUCAAAAUAGGAAAUUGUGCAUGUGACACUGGAGGCAAACCUGAAAGAUAUUUCAGAUUAUCUGCAGAAAAUAGAGGAGGCGGCAACCCAUUAGCCGAAGCUCGAUGCAUUUCUAUCAUUUGUUGCCUCAAUUUCCGAAUCUCUUCAUUAGCUCCUACAUUUUCAUUCCCCAAACUCCCUAUCUGAUUAGUGACAACAAACUCGGUAUCCUUGUUGGCCAUAACUUUCUCUGUGACUUGGAGCAAUAUGGAGGACCAGCCAAAAUGCCACAAACCAACCACCAUAAACUAACUGGACAAGAGAUAGCAAAUGCGUUAGAGUUCAAUGAUUUUUCAAAACCUCUUCUUCUUUUUAUAUCUUGAAAAAAAAAUCACCGAACCCUAGAAGGGCGCCUACGUAUCUCACCCCCGAAAGAGGAGAAUCAGGUGUGCGUAGUUCGUGAAGUUUUGCCAAAAUGACCAAUUAAACUCUUUUUUCUUUCUUGAAACAAAGUGUCAAAAGAAUUGGCAAAAAUCUUUUUGCAUUUUUUUUAGGUUUAAAUCUCUAUACAAAAUGAAACCUGUGAUAACCAAAGAAAAAUCUUUUUGGAUUUUCGAUUUUUGAAUUUCAUGUGAAAAUGAAACUUGAACCUAUUAAAGAAAAAUAUUUUUGUAGUUUUCUUUUAAAGACAUAUAUGAAACGCCUACUCUAAAUGGAGAGUGAAGAAAUAUUUUUUGGAUUUUUUAAAUAAGAUCCUCGAACCAACAAUAGGCUGCCUACGUAUCUCACUUCCGAAAGAGGAGAAUCAGGGGUGCGUAGUUCGUCCAGAUUGGACAAUUAAUGAUUAAAUAAUAGGCUAGACCCUGACUUAAGAGACACGACCAAAGACAGACGAUGAACCAUGUCAAUAAAAUCUUUUGAGUUUUCAUUUUGAUUCUUCACAGAAAAAUGACAUCAACAACUAUGAAAGAAAAUUUUUUUUGGUAUUUUCGUUAUACGAAACGUAAAAAAUUUCUGACAUCUUUUUUUUUGCAGUUUUCUUUUAUAAACACAUCCUAUGAAUGAAAAAAAAUCUUUUUGAAGUUUUCGAAUUGUGAAUGCAUGCUAAACGAGACAAAGGAAAAUCUUUUUGAUGUUUUUGAGAAAAUAAGUGAGAAAGGUAAAAAAGUCCUUUUGAAUUUUGGAAUUGUGAAGAAUAAAAGCCAUAAAAAACUCUAAAAACUAUGAAACUCUUUUUUUCUUUUUUCUUAUUUUUUUUCAUUACCUACACACUUUACUUCUAACACAUGUUUUUCCCAAAUCAGUCCAUCAAAUGACCACGUUAUCCUCAAAGAUGCAAUAUUUAGCACAUAGGGAUGCUUUAGAGGUGAGUCUCCUACAAAGGACCAAGUGGGCCCCGCUAGGUCUCAAUAUGAUGCACAUAAGCAUGAACUAAAGGCUUACCUACGUUGGGGUUCACUAACAAGGUUGUUCGGGGGAGCGUAUGGUCGAUAGUGGCUACGACAGCUUUCCAUCUACUCCAUAACACCGAUGGCUCCCCCCCUAAAAUAAGGGUGACUCAACUAGAGGUCGUGUACAACACGUGUACUAUAGACUUGUUGCAGAAAGAAGGUCGGGGGUAGACACAUGAUGCCAGAUAUAAAAGCGGUAACACAUAGGAUAAAUACUGUACACAAAGAGCACGAAAACAUUCCAUAAUGAUAAAACAAUAACACAAUACAACACACAAAAAAAAAUAUUUAUACACUUAUAGUUCCAAACAAAGUCGAUACGACUCCAAAAUAAGCUCGAAUUCUGAACAAGUUCCCCAGCAAAGUCGACAGAGCUGUCACACCCCUUUUCGACUCCAAAAGAUUAUGGAUUAAGUUUCGAAAGGGUUUUUGUUAUUAAGUGACAAAAUGAAGAAUUUUUGUUUCGAAAAAGGAUUAUUUACAUUUUUUAUUCAGAGUCGCCACUUGAUAUAAAUUAGGUGUGCCAAGUCACCUUUGGAAAUCCGUUUUCAAAACAGUUUGACUCUAAAACUGAUCCGCAAAUAGAGAUUCCAGCUAAGGAAUUCUGUUGACCGAAGGGAAGGUGUUAGGCACCCCUCGAUCCCGUGGUUGAACCACGGUCGCUUGGUGAAGCAUAUCGGCUAAUUUGAAUACUAUGAAUGUAUAAACCAAACAAAACACACAAAUCAAACAAACAAACAAAUCAAAUGAAAUUCAAAAUCCAAAAUAAUGUCAGUUCGAUUUAAUACAGUCCAAAAAUAAAGAAGAUGCAAAAAUGUAAAUCCUAUUCUAAACUAAUCCUAGACUAUGCUUUACCCGACGCCUCGAGUCUUCAUCACGAUUAUCCUCCGCAAUCAUGAUACGUCGGGACAUUCCCCGGUGAAUAAACACAAAUAGCUCGGGGCAUUCCCCGGCCAAAUGGUACAUUUGUUCCAAAAGAAAUAAAACCAAGCCAUUCAACACAUGUCAAGCAUUCAAGAUUUCACAAUUCUUACAUUUGCCUACCCAACUCGGCUUAUGAUUCUAUCACGUUCAACAAUAUUCAUGCUGAUUCCGAAUUAAACAAAACAACAAUAAACCAAAAUUAAUCUAAAUUCACCUUUUUUAUCAAUUUCUCAAUUCCACCCCCAAAUUCCUUUUUCAAUACAAACCCAUAUUCAUAUUAUCAUCACCUACAAUUGAUAUCAAUUAUUAAAAAGCAAACAACAUCCAAUCAUCACCCAAAUAUCCAAACAAAUAGGACAAAGGCAUCGAAUCACAUCCACAAUCACAUCGAAAUUAAAAUAAAGAGAAAGAUGAGAAAAAUUGACCUCAAAUGAAGCUUUCGAACUCAAUAUUAUUCGAAUAAAGAGAAUCCACUCAAAUGAACCUCGAUGACGAAUCCAGUCCAACUACGAUAUAUUCGACCCCGACAAAAUCACAAAAAAAAAGAAGGCACGAACCCAUUUCCCUAUGCAUGAUUCCGCCUCAUCGUUCUCCGACGGGUUUUAACAGAAAAGGGGAAGGAAUAGGCUUUUUGGGUCGAAAAAUAAGGACGGGGGAAGUCAGUUUGUUGUUGUGACUUCGCUGGAGCUCCGGUAAGCUCUGGCAGUGACGAAAAUCAGAGAGUGGGUCACGUUUUCUGUUGCUUCAACGUUUUCCAGCGAGAAAUUCGCCGGAAACAGUCAGACUCAACGCCCUUUUCUCUCUGUUCUUUCUGAUAUUUUCGAUCUGCCUCCCUCUCUUUAUUCUCAGUUACGGUCUCUCUCUUUCUCCGAUUGAUUUCAGCUCACCAUCACCCUUCUCCCUCUCUCUUUGAUCUCACGAUUUCUCCCUUGCUCUAAUCUCUUGUUCUCUAUCUCCUUCGUCUCUCGUUUUCUCCACCCCGUGCGUAUGAGUGUGUUACUGUGUUUAUGGUAAGGAUCAGUGAUGGGAAUGAGUGGUGUGUGAAAAAAAUGGAAGGGAAUUUUGUGUGCUUCCCCUUCGUAUAUGGCAAUGGUGAUAGGUAUAUGCGAUAGUGAAU